rnacentral:lncRNA from 1 species
UUGUUAACAACCUAAAAAGUGCCUAGUACCAGAUCGUUCUUAUUAUCUCAAAGAAAAAGAACACUCUCCCCCUUCUUUUAUGCAUGGAUCUGCAUACGUUCUCCAGAGAUAUUUUUGGUCAAUACAUAUAUCAAGAGUAAGGGUAUAGUUUGGAUGUCAGUAAAAACGAAUAUGUGCUUAAAUAUUUAAAAUUAAUUUUUGAGGGUCCUGACUUGCCGAAACGAAAAAACUGAUAUAUCAUUGCUUGAAAGUUGAAACUCGUUAAUACCUCUAAACUAUGGCCCGUACUGGCAUAUGAUAUUGUAUGGUUCAAAGUUGAAACUUCAAACCGACCAUACAAGAUUCCAUGAUGCAGACAGAUAAGUUUUAGUCAAUUUAAGCACAAGCCCCUUAGUCUAAACAUGCGGCAUGCAUGCAUGCUUAUGCAUUUUGUGCAAUAUCCUCACAAUAUCUAUCCAUAUCAAUUUGGCACAGUUUAAUGACUCCACUACCCUUGAGGGAAAAGCCCUAUAUAAACAGAACUCCAUCGAUUACGCAUUUGUACAGUCGUACACACAAGCUGCGGGCAUUUUGAAAUUAAUAUAUAGGCAAAUGGCGAAUUCGGGGCUUAGAUCAAUGUUGUUGCCGCUUUUACUCCUUGCCCUGGCCCUCUCCCCAGCAUUGCCAGCAGCUGAGGCAGCUCGAAUUCCGCAUCGAGGUUAGCCAUUUAUGUAAUAUAUUUGUGCAAUUAUUAUUAUUUGACAAAGUGUAUAUGAAUAUACGGUACGUAUAAUCUUAUUCAUUAAUUCAUAUGGUUGAUGUGUGUAGAGCUGCUUCAAGUAUGUGUUACUUGUGUGUGCUGUACUCCACCACCACCGGGAAAGUGCUGCGCCAAGUGUUGCGCCAGUCCUGUGGUUGAGCAAUCUCAAAAUGGCUCUCCAUGAGAUCCACCCACAAAGAUAUUAUUAGAUGGUGCUGUCCUGAAGCUGGUCAGAAUGAUCUUAUGUAUCUAUCUAUAACUAUCAUAUGGUUUACGUUUAUGUAUGAAUAACAUGGAUGUAAUUUCCUCUGUUGGUGGUGUUAUUGUUGUCAGUGAUCUUUUACUCAAUUUUAUGUGUACUUUCGAAUUUUGCAAGCGACCAUUUCUGUGUAUGGGUCAUGAUAGUUCGGGAAUCCUUAGUCUUAUUUACGGUAUUAAUUAAGAUCCCGCAACACAUAUAUUGUGUUUAUUAUUAUAUUUUAAAAUUGUAUAAAUAAUCAUGAAAUUCUAAUAAAAUAGAUGGAAACUUGAUUAUAUUCAUAUAUAAUUAAUAUAUAUUUUAAUUAUGAAAUUUGUAAGAUAAACUAUUGAAAUGAAAAUGAGGCAGUAAUAUACUCAUGCAUCUUUCGGUUCUUUCAUGGCAUGCGUCGGAUCAGAAAAAUUCUAGAUCACUUGGCUGCUACUGCUACUCUGCUCCUAGAUCUUGAUAUUAGCCCAAACUCGAAUGAAAACAUUAAAGAAGCUGGCUAAUCAGUACCUCUCUUCAAAUAUUAAUAAUUUUAUUUGUUAAAAUAAACUUUAUUCAUAAUAUUUAUUUUCUUCUUUGUUUAAUAUAAUUUUAUACUAUUUUCAAUAUUAAAUAUAAUUAAUUCAUAUAAUUUUAAAAAAAUUUAAACAAAUAAUUAUGAAUUUCCAAUUAAAUGGAUGAAAAUUUGGUUAUAUUUUGUAAUUAACGCAAUUUUAGUGAUGGCAACAAUAAUAAAACAUUAUAUUUAAUUCCUGAAAAAAAACAUUAUAUCUAAAAAUUCGAAAAAAAACACUAUUAAAAUGGGAAUUAACUGAAUUUUUGGGGUGAAAAAUUCGGGCUGCUAAUAUCAAUCGUUAACUAAAUCGAUCGUUAACGGUCGAAUUCAAUUCUUUUCGAUCGUAUUUUUAAGCCGCCUAACUUCAACCGGUCUUCACUGAUGCUAUACGGUCGGAAAUAAAUUUUUUUGAUUAUACGGUCGAAAAUAUUUUCCCCCCGUCGUAUUCUAGCAACGGAAAAUAGAUGUUUUCCUGGAGGGAGCAACUGUAUAAACCCAUGACCCAAUUCCCAACAAACAACAAUAUGAGCAAACCCGAACGAUAAUAGAAUGCUUAGAGCAUCUCCAACCAUGAAGACCCCUUAGCUAAAAGGUGAUUUGUCAUGCCAAAAAUAAAAAAUUUAGCCAACCAUUUCAAAACUUCACACUCCAACCAUAGUGACCUGUUGUCUAUAAAUUUGGCCAACCUCCUAUGGAUGGCUAAAUUUGUCGAACCUCUACAGGUCUGUAAGAAAUCUGUAGGAAGAUUGCACAUCAUUUAUUACCAUAUUGAACUGAUAUAUUCUAUUUUAACAAUUUGAAAUGUUAAUAACAUACUAUUUUUAAAUUAUAGCCAACCAAUAUAGCCAAUACCAUUGAAGCGAAAUGUCUUACAGGUUCAGUAAAUUUUACAUAACGUCUUACAGGUCCAAUUUAGCCAACGAUUAUAGCCAACACCGUUGGAGAUGCUCUUAUGGCGCAGGCGUUAUAUGAAAUUAAUUAACUGAAAUAUACAACUUUUGCUCAAAAAAAAAAACUGAAAUAUAUAACUAUUUUUAUAAACUUCUAAAAUUCUGAAAAUUAUAUUCUAAAAAAAUUAUAAAUACUUAUAAUGUGAAAAAAUCGAAUGACAAUAGAAUGCUUGUGUAGGCGUUAUGGUGGACUAAGAGCAAGGUUACCUAAACAUGUUCCUAAACUCAAUGUACUAAAAGAAAAAAGUACUCCAACACUCUCGCAGUGGUUACUUAAAUUACUAACACAACAUCAAAUCUCCUAGGUAUUACCUAUUUUAUAAGUAAUCUCUAGUCAUUACCUAUUUAAUAUUUAUAAAUAAAAUAAUUAUAUAUCUCUCUUUCUUUUUCUUUGUCUCUUCUCUCCUUUUCUCCUUUUCUCCUUUUCUCUCUCAAAUUUAUUAUUAAAAUAAUUUUAGGAGAACAAAUAUAUGGAUUACUAUUGGAGUUGACACUAAAAAUAGAUUACCAAAAUCAUUAAGACACAUUAGCACUCAUUAUUUUAUAAUCCCUCUGUUUUUUUAUACGACACUUUUGACUUGGACACGUAAUUUUAGGUGGGUUGACCGGAUAGUAAAAAUAAUUAUUUUUGAUUGAUUUUUUUUGUGAAUUAAAAUUUUGAUUGCAUAUUUUUAUUCAGAAAAAGAAAAAUUCAAAAAUAAUGUUUUUAACUAUCCGGUCAAAGCACUUAAAAGUGUGUGCUAAAAAAUCAAACGUCAUAUAUUCUGAGAGCUCUAAGGGGCGGAUCCAGCCUUCGCAUCUCACCCGGGCUGAAAGCCUGAAACACUUAGGCUGUGUUCACUUGGAGGGAAUGAAAUGAGGUGAGAAUGGAAAGAAAUAUAUACUCGUGGUUAGGUGAAGAUUGAGGAAAUGUUUAUAAUUUUCAUUUCUUUUUUCACUCCAUUCCAAGCUAUUUAAACUAAAAUUCGAACCCACAUUUUUUGAAAGGAACGCUCCAUUCCAGCUCUUCAUUAUUUUUCCUCAUAUCCUCAUUAUAAAAAAAUUAGACUCCAUGUUCAUCAACUAUUUCACUUAUACCAAUUUUUUUUCUCCGUAAAAUUUGUUUAUAAUUUUUAUUCCAUUCAUUUCCAUUCCAUUCUCACCAAGUGAACGCAACCUUAUAAUCUUGAAGGUAUACAGUGGAGGUGAAGAGGGGGAAAAAAUGAUAUAUGGUACUGACAGUGACAUGGAAAUAUGGAUAUUAUUCUUUUAACCUCCUGCAGGGACUAUCGAGCUGGUAAAUUCAUGUCAAAUCAAUUUUUUUGACUUUAUAUAUAUAUACUCAUUUACAUAUAAAAAAAAUAUAAAAUUUAAGAAUCUCAAAUAUUGGAGGUAGCCUGAAUAACAUUUGUUUGUCACUAAUACAAUAAAAAUUAAUUUUGUAUGAUCAGCUACAUAGACUAAAUCAUUUUAUUUUAUUUAUUUUAAACUAUAACUAAUAAUUCAUGUCAAAAUCAAGAUUAUAAAAAUUAAUAAUAUGACUGCAAAAAUAAAAUAUAAACGUAAGGUAAUAACAUAUGGUAAACCUGAAUAUAUUUUAGUAACAAUUGUUUUGACAUAGUUAGAUUAAGGGAUUAAAUUAUUAUAUAAAAUAAUAAAAGUAGCUAUAUAUUAAAAAAAUAAAGCUAUAUUUAUAUAAUUAGUUUAAACACGUCAAAAGGUCAAAAAGCAAGAUUAAACCGCUUAGCUUAUAUAAACACCAUGACCGACUGUUUGACCUAAACUAAACAAAUUUAUAUUUAAAAUACAAAAUUACAUGAAUAAAGAGUAAUGCUACAUGCACAUAAACGGAUACAAAAAUUUUAUACAGAAUGAUGUGGCAGCGCCACCUCUACAUAACAUUAAUUACUUUUGUCUGCCACUAUACCUAAUACACCUACUUUCUUUUUUAUUUUCUCAUCUAAAUAUUGAAAUCGAUUUGAUUUUUGAGUUCACUUAUAAAAUAUUAUUUUUACUUUUUACUUUUCUUGCUCUUUUCACUUUUUCUAUUAUUUAUAUCCUUAUAUAUUUAAUACUUGUACAAUUUUUAUAUUAUUUAUUUUUCACUAGUAUUUUUUACUUUUGACAUUUAAUACUUGUAUAAUUUUUAUGUUUAACUCUUUAUAUCAACUUAUCAAGUGAAAACUUGAAACUAUUUGAUAUUUACUUCACUUACAAAAAAUUAAAUUUUUAUACUUCUUAUUUUUAUUCUAUUAUCUAAAAAUUGAAACUAUUUGAUGUUUAGUUCACUGAAAAAAAUUUGUUUUUCUCUUGGCAAAAAAAAAAAAAUAGUUUUUCUACUUCUUACACUUUUCACUUUUUUAUUAUUUUUAUCUUUCUUAUUUUUUGUUAUUUUUUAAAAUGUGAUACUAGUUUUAACUUUUUAAGUCUAAUUUUUUAUAUCAAAUUCUCAAAAAAAUAAUUUUUUACCCGUAUCGAUCACUAUAUUUGUAUAUCUGUUUUUUAUUUUCAUUUUGUUAUCCAAAGAUUGAAAUUGAUUCGACGUUUAGUUCUCUUGUGAAAAAAAUAUUUUUGUACUUUCAACUUCUUAAACUUCUCACAUUUUUAUUAUUUAUAUUUUCUCUUAUAUUAUUUAUUUUUACUUGUAAUACUAGUUAGCAUCACUUAUCUAGUAAUGAUGAUAAUUAAAAAAGAUACAAAUAAUAGAAAAAGUGAAAAGUGUAAGAAGUUAAAUCACAAAAAUAAUUUUUUUCUAAGUGAACAAAAUGUCAAAUCAUUUUCAGUUUUUGGAUAACAAAGCGAAAAUAAAAGAUACAAAUAUAGUAGCCGACAAGAGUAAUUUUUUUUGAGAAUUUGAUAUAAAAAAUUAGCAUAAAAAGUUAUAACUAAUAUUGCAUGUAAUAAAAAAAGUGAAAAGUGUAAGAAGUUGAAAAAAUAAGAAUAAUUUUUUUGUCAGUGAACUAAACAUCAAAUAGUUUCAAGUUUUCUCCUAGAAAUUGAUAUAAAAAAUUAGAUAUAAAAGUUAUAUAAGAAUUAAAUGUAAAAGGUAAAUAAUAUAAAUGAAAAAUAAAUAAUAUAAAAAGCUAUACAAGUAUUAAAUAUAAAAAGAUAUGAAUAAUAAAAAAAUGAAAAAAAUAAAUAUUAAAACUAAUAUUUUAUAGGUGAACUGGGAUACCAAGUCAAUCUGAAUAUCUAUAUCACAUAUCUAUAUAACACAAUGAAAAAGAAAGUAGGUGUAUAGGUAUAGUGGCAGACAAGAGUAAUUAAUGUUAUGCAGAGGUGGCGCUGUCAGAUCAUUCUGUAUAAAAUUUCUGUAUCCGUUUAUGUGCACGUAGCAUUACUCCAUGAAUAAAACCGAAAUAGGGUUACAAUUCAUAAAAGUGAACAGCAACUCUGGCUAAUUAAUAAAGUUCCAGACCCAAAACUGAGAAAAGUGUUGGGCUUUUUAAAAUUUUAGACCGGCUAAAGAUAAGUAAACUUUCGUCGAGGCUGGUAAAAUUUUUUGUAUCAUAAAACUCACCCGGGCUUUAGCCCACCGGAGCCCAUACAUAGAUCCGCGCCUCUACUCUAUGAUCAUAAUUAUGUUAAUGUCAUUCACAGUUUUCUAAUGUUGUAGAUAAAUAUCCAUUUCAGCUAAAAUCUAGCUAUAUACUCUAAUUAUUAAAUUUCCAGCUAGGUAGAAGCUAUAUUGUACGUCGAAUUAAGCAAAAUAAGAAGAUUACGACUAACUUGUCACAUAAUUAAUUUUUGUUUAACAAAUAAACACUUGUUUUUUUUUUUAUUACAACCAAUAGUCACACUCACACAAAACCAUCAACUGCACUUGACACAGUUGACACCAGAGAAUGAAGAUAUAUUUGCAAUUAAUACAAAAUUCCUUUAUUUAAGAUUACUCAUGUGCAAGUCAGUAUCAAUUAAGCUAGCUAGAAGUCCAAGAAGAAGCAUGAGCCGUUUGCCUGUCAAGUGUCAAGGACAGACGCAACAAGCACACUUUCGGGAUGGCGCAGGUUCGCAACAUAUACAAUUGGUGCACACAAGUCUCUUCUUAUUGGUUUCUGCAUUUCAACAACAAACAAAAACUAAACUUUAAGUCGUUUCCAAGAAGUAUAAGGAGCAGAAUUCGUUUCUACUUGAAAUAUUAUAAACCUCAGGAACAUUAUUAUUGUGGUCGCAUAUAUCACAUAUUCUAAUUAUCGGUGGAUUUUUAAGUUUAGAUGAUGCACGGCUUCCGACCUUAUCUUGAUAAUUUCGAUGAUCAGGAUUUUGCUAAAAACUUGACCCGAUCCAAUAUGAGGGGGUCUGUUCCAUCUUAACUUGUGCUUGCCCAACACUUAAUUCUAAUUUACACAUUACUUUUAGCUUGAAUUAGCACGAACGAAUACAUAUAACGGGUUCAAAUAUUAUAAAAUAUUGUGUGUUGAAGAAGAAGAAAGUUAAGUAACCUGGAACACGGAAUCGAGCAGCUUGAGAUGGUACCACCAGGGCUGGUGACAGCAGAAUUGCCAAGACAAACAAGGUGAGAAGAACGGAGCUUGAAUAGCUGGUAGAAUUUGUCAUUGCUUAGAACUGACAAUAUAUUUGUGUCGCUCAAAUAUAUGCUUAAUGUCAAAGGACAAGUGUAAAUAUAUAGGGGUCGGAUGUGAGCUGAUUCUAUACCGCGUUUUAUUUGAAAAUUUUGUUUGAAUUUUAGAAAUUAACAUGCUAGUAAUCUGGGGAAAGAAUUAAAGAACAUGAGAAGAUAUCAAAUUAAAUUUAUUCUUUUUUGACCCAGCUACAUCCAAGUCUAUACGUUUGUUAUAUUUUUUAUUCAACAAAAUGGAAAGUCACUUUACUUGAUUCAUGUUGCCAUUAUAUGCAUCAAGGUAAGUUAAAGUUAAUUAAAAAAACCCAGUGGCAUGACUUAGUAAUAAAUUUGUUAGUUUAAUGUUAUGUGGACCUGGAUUAUUCAAAUUUGUAAGAAGAAUUCUCUUAAUCAAAAAAUAUAGAGAGAAAAGGGCAGGUUGGCCGCAAACCACUUAGACAAUAAAUGAUGACUAAGAGCAAAUCCAAGAGUGUCCUAGUUGAUGCUCCAAAUAUAAUAUAAAAUAUUAUGUCAUAGUAAUUUAGGACAUACUUUACCAACUUGAACUCCAACAAUGUGCCUUAUUCUCACACUAUGUUUAAUAUUUUAUUAUUAAAGACUCGCUUUCAUCAUUUAAGCAUAAUAUAAAAGUAGAGAGAGAAAGAGAGUGUGAUGAGAAUUUAUAAUAAAAUAUUGAAUAAGGCAAGGUGAGAUGUGCCCCAAAAAUAAGGCUUGGGAAGGUUGUCUAGUGAUAUAAGAGCAAGUCCAAGAGAUGCCCUAAACAAUGUCCUAAGUCAUAAUUUAAGGCAUUUGAUGAAAAAUGUUGAUCCAACAAUGUCCUAGUGAUGCCUUAUAUCACUAGGACAACCUCUUCAAGCCUUAUUAAUAGGGCACCUCUCUUCUUGCCCUAUCCUAUAUUUUAUAAUAAAUUAUUAUAUCUACUCUUUUUCUCUCUCUACUUUAUAUUGUGUUUUAAUGAUGAAAGAGCAUCUCUAAUAAUAAAAUAUUAAACAUAUAUUAAAAAUAAGGCACAUUGUUGGAGUUGAACUUAAAUAAACAUGUCUUAAAUCAGUAGGACAUCAUUUUUUAGAUUAUAUUUGGGGCACCAACUAGGAUACUGUUGGACUUGCUCUAAGGCAGGGACGAAGCUACGUAGGGGCCAGAAGGGGCCAUGCCCCCCCCGGUUUCCGUAAUACUAUAAUUUGUAUUAUAUAAUUUUGAAAAAAAUUAUAUUUUCUCUUUAUAUUUAUAUAAAUAUAAAAAUUUGCCCCCCCCCCCCAAAAUAUUUGUUCACUCUUAAGAGAUAAUUAACAAUAUAAGAUGAAGUGUUUAAUUUUUAGAUUUCUCUAAUUUAUGUAUUAUACCAAAUUUAUAAAUAAAAAUAAACAAAUAUAUAUAUAUAUAUAUAUAUAUAUAUAUUAAACUUAUACCCCACUUAUUCAUUUUCGUAGAAUAAAGUUAGUCUUUGUGCAUUAUCAAUUUUUUAAUUAAUAUUAAUAUUUUUCUACUCAUCGUCAAUUCAAAUUUCAUCAUCCAGGUAAUAUUUUUACUUGUUUAACCUAUAGUUUGUCAUCUUGUAAAUAAGUAUAAUAUUUUUUUUUAAGGUUAAUAAGUAUAAUAUUUAGUUUUUGAGAUAUUGUAAAAUUUUUACUUACUCUUGUUUAAAAUAUAAUAUCAUUUUUUUUGAAGUACAAUUUCAUUUAAUGUGUGUUACUUGCUAAUUAAAGAUUAUCGUAUAAUUUAGAGUUAUUAUGAUGAGUUUCCUGAUAUUUUAUACUCUUAUAUAUCUAAAGACAAAUAGCUAAAUAUUUUAAUUGACACAAUUAUAUAUUUGAUUUCCUGGUUUAAAAGAAGGCAAGGUUCUACUAUAAUUUUUUUACUAGUAUUUUUGUAUUUAUUUUAUAUUGAAUAUUUUACUGUGUUGACCAAAAAUUUCAUUGUGUUGAAGAAAAUUUUUUGGCCCCCCUUAUAGAUGUUUGCUGGCUUCGUCCCUGCUCUAAGGCAUCACUUGAACAUUGUGGAUCAAGUUUUUUGGUCAAUUGCCCUAAAUUAUAACUUAGACAUGAUAUAAGGUAUCUCUUGGACUUGCUCUAAAGUAUUCGAAUGGAAAAACUAACUUAAAAGACACUACAUAAACUAUGCACUGGUGGAACUAUUCAUAAGACCAGAGCAAAUAUACAAUCAGCUAGCUGAAGUCAUUUCGAAAUAUAGAGAAUGGCUAUAGAUUCGGGUCUUAGAUCAACGUUGUUGCCACUUUUCCUCCUCGCCAUGGUCCUCUCUCCAGCAUUGCCAGCUGAGGCAGCUCGACUCCCUCAUCGAGGUUAGCCAUUCAUGUGUACAUUUAAUAUUAUCUGAUAUAUAUUUGGGGUACGUAUUUCUAUUGAAUGAUAUAUGUUUGAUGUGUGUAGAGCUGCUUGGAGGAGGAGCACUAUGUGUUGCUUGUGUAUGCUGUACUCGACCACCACCAGGAAAGUGCUGUGCCAAGUGUUGCGCCUCUCCUAUAGUUGAUCAAUCUCGAACUGCUUCUCCAUGAGAUUCAUCGAUAAAUAUAUGAUCAAAUAGUGAUGUUCUGAAGCUGGUCAAUGAAUGAUCUUACAUGUCUAAAACUAUCUUAUGGUUCAUGUAUUAAUAAUAUGGAUGUAAAUUCCUCUGUUGUGGGUGUUGCUGUUUUCUCACUACUGUUAUCAGUUUGAAGUUUGGAAAAUUAUUCAUUUGGUUGUUUGAUGGUGAGCUUCCCAUCUCUGCACGUGCUUAUGUUAACUUCUUUUUCUUCUAAUAUAAUUAUUCUUUAUCUUCUGAAUUUUUCAACCAUUCAUUUCUUCGAUAUCGUUAAAAUGUUACAAUAUAUUAAUAAAGUAAUGUUGAAAUAUAACAUAAGAUUCAUGUAGAUAUUUUUCUAACAUCUUAAAAUUUUAGAUGAACUCAUUGUCAACAUUAUGAUAUUAGGACUCUGAUUUCACGGAGGUCUCAAGUUCGACUCUCCAACGGAGGUCUCAAGUUCGACUCUCCAUCAAUGAACUCACAAUUUAAUAUGGACAUGUCAAAAAUGGAUAACCACACGAGCAAACUCAAAUGAUAAUGGCGAUAUAUUUAAUUUUGAAUUUAAAUUUGCCGCUAGAUCUUCCGAUCAUGUGUUGAUAGCUUACCAUCUCAACUUGUGUUUAUGUUAUUCACCGCCUCAUAAAAAAAAUUCUGUUUCUGGUAAAAAUCCAUGUCUCUUCUUAUAUGUCGGAGCACAAAAGAAAAACACAGCUUAAUCAAAGUAUCAAACACAAAAAGGAGUUAAGUUAUCCAAGUAAAACUUUAAUUCUUUAUUACAAUUCCCAGUCACACAGACCAAAAAAUGGUACACCCUAUAAUAAUACAAUCCCUUUAUUUCAUUUUAAGAACAUAAGCAAACAGAUGACAAAAAAUUUAACUGAUCCGAUUAUCACUAUAAAAUUGUUUUAGUAUCAAGCUAGCUAGUUCCAAGUCCAAGAACCGUCAAGGACAAACGCAACAAGCACAUUUUCGGGACGGGGCUGGUUCGCAACAUAUACAAUUGAUGCACACAAGCCUGUUCUCACCUGUUUCUGCAUUUAAACAACAACGAAAGACCGAGUUAUAGGCCAGAUUUUUAACAAAGUAUUUUGUGUUGUGUAAAGGGAGAAGUGAAGUAACCUGGAACACGAAAUCGCGCAGCUUGGGAUGGAACCACCAGGGCUGGUGACAGAAGAAUUGCCAAGACAAAUAAGGUGAGAAGAACGGAGCUGGAAUUGCUGUUAGAACUUGUCAUUGCUUAGAGCAACAAUGUAUUUAGUUGUCUCGCUCAAAUGUGAUUGCUUAAUGACAAGACAAACGUGUAUUUAUAGGGAUUCUAGGUGAGCUGAUUUGUAGCGCGUUUUUUUUUGAAAAAUUUGUGUGAAUUAGGAAAUUGACGUGGUAGUUUUGGGGAGUUUGGGAAAAUUGGAGAACAGAAUAAUCAAAUAAAAUUAAAUGAAUUCUUAUUUGACCCGAGUUAUCAAUGGUUUUAGAAUUACUAUUAUUUAUGGGGUAUUGAAUAAAUUUUUGAAAUACAUUUGUAGAUUUUCAUAUUUUAUGUGUAUUUGUAUAAUUUUAAAAAAAUUAUAAUUAUGAAAAACAUAAAAAAAUUUUAGAAAGAAUGUCUCCGUAACUUUUGAAAGUUCUUUCCUAAUUUGCUAUAUCCGUCCCUGAUGGGUAAGUCAUUUUAUAUAUAUUAUCUAGCAAAAUGAAAAGUCGUAUUAAUUAGUUUAUGUUUUGAUGUAGAUUUGUUGGCGUUAUAUACAUCAAGAUAAGCUAUAAUUAAUUAAUUAAAAUCAAUGGCGUGACAGAGUGAUAAGUUUCUGACCAGACUAAUCCUCCGUUCGAUUUAUACAUCAUGUACUUAAUUUAAUGUUACGAGAGCCACGGUAAUUCAAAUUCUAAUGGAGAUUAAUUCUCUUCAAAGAUAAAUAAACAAAUAUACAGAGAGUGAUAGGUUGGUCGCAAACCACUCGAAAAGAUUAAUUAUGAAAAGACAGAAUAUUUAUGAUGACUAAAAUAUUUGAACGCAUGUUUACAUAACAAAUUCAUCACUUUAUCCCCUGUUUCCUUGUUUGUUGGAAUUGAGUAGCAAAUGUGAUGCAACUUCGUGGCAUCCACGGUUGAGUCAAAUAUUAUGAAAAGAAAUUGCAUUGCAACUAUCGAGUAUUUUAAACCUUAAAUUCUCGAAUUGCAAUUGCAUCAGCGGUGUUGGUUUGAUAAAGAGCUAGGAAUAAUUAAGUGGAUUCGUACAGUAUUGAAUUGUUCCUGGUAGAGUGCAAGUACUCAUUCAACCUUUGAGAAACCUAAGUCGUCGUUCUCAGUCCUUAGUCCUCUACACAAGAAGAAUACUACAAUUUUGAUGGAAAAUUCUGCAUACAAUGAUAUUGCAAGGAAAAGACUCUCUUUUACGCCCUGCUCCCGAAUUAUAAUCAGGAAGGAAAGAAAGUCAGAAUGAAGUAAAGUUAUGUAAUUUUCACUUCUGUUUGUGCUCCCGAAUUUUUUAAAAGGGUGAAAGUAGAUGCAAAUAUAGCAUAUUUUCACUCCAAAGGUUUCACUCCAAAAGUGGGAUGUUGCUUUCACUUGCAUUCACUUGCUUUCGGGAGCAGGGCCCUCAAGCUCAUCUUGUUUUAUGCUUGCUCAAUAGUAGUAUGUGUUGAAGCUAACUAUUCAAGCAUAUACGAAUAGGAAAUUCAUAUAUUCUGUCAUUCUGCGUAAGUUCUCUGAUAUUUUUUUCCUGUGCUUAUAAUUUGGCAAGAAACAUAUGAAAAAAAGGAAAACAAUAAAAUCAUUCUAACAGGAAAAAAAAAAAGACAAGUACUAAAAAACAUAAACAACAGGUAUUAAACUCACACCCACAUUUGUUCUGAUGCCAACAUUACUAAAAAAAACAUGAAAUAUAGAAAUUACAAAGGAACCACAAGUACUCCUUCCAUUAUUGCGCUGAUCCUGUUAACUAAACGAAGAACUGAGAAAUUGCAUCUCAUUUUAUUCAAGAUUUCCCCAACUGAAAAGUAAUCUUUCAUGAUCCAACCAUUUAAUACUUGUCUUUCACCACUUUAGCUUUGCAGGGAAGUACUGACAAAAAACAAGCAUAUAUUAUCAGAACUUGGUAAAAUAAACAAACGCAGAUCUUACAUAUGCUGAUAUGCUACACUGUAAUUCUCUAGCUAAAAUUUUACCUUCUCAAUGAGUGAAAGAUAGUAGGGUUUAACUUUCUCGACGUUAACUCUUUCUUUGCUUUUGCUGUACAGAUCGUACUUGCUGUGAAAUAAAUAAACAAGAUUAAGACAUUAACCAGAUUUAUUAAGAAGUCGGUAAAGGCUUGUGUAUUUAUGUUCUUACUUGAACACUUGAAGCCACUUCAAAUUCUCACAGUCUUCCUGGUUCAUCAAGUGUUUAUAAGCUCCUGCUCUGUGUAAAGCUGCAAUAUCGUAUUGAAAUAAGAAAUUUAAUUAUUCCUCCAUGGAAUGAAAAAGAUUCGACAAUCACACUGAUAUAGGCAAAAUAAUCAUCAUUUUACCAUAAAAAGAGUGAUAUCUGAUAAUAAAGAGACCAGCUGAUGGCAAAGUAGUCCCAUUCUCUUUUGCCACCUAUAAACGUAUAAAAAAAAACUAAUUUUUCAUGAAAGACAUGGUUGUGCUAUACAAAAAAUACUUCCGCGGAAGAGGCUUAGAAUUACCAUAUACAUGUAGUCAUCAUGCCCCCAUGACAUCAUCACAUUGUUAAGUCCGCAACCUUCAGAAUAAACCCCAUACUUGGUAUUAUAAGCAGGGUUGUUGUUGUCUGGAUUCUCCUUGAAGUACUGUUAACAAGGUUUGCCAUGUUUUGCACAUAAUUUUCACAGAACUUGUAUUGCCUUAUUCGUAGAUAAAUAGAACUACCAUUAAAUUAGCAAAUUGAAAAGCAUAGUAAAAAUUUGACCUUGUGAUGAACAAUUGAUUCAUCGAAUGCACACCCAACUGGAUAUGUGUCACCUGGAAUAUGUAUAGAUCUUGGUCAAGAGAUAGUAAGCACAAAUGAACAGGGGCAUGAAGAUAAGUGUAUUAUAAGCGAAAUUUUGUAAAGUGGUUAACACUUGCCUACAACAGCCCACUGAGGAAGCUCCCCAAAACUUGGAUGCAGAAGAACCUUUCCAAGAUCUAAAACAAAACCAAAAAUACAUAAGGUCUCGUGUACUGGUACGACUAUAAUCAUGAUCAUAGGAAUAAACAUUUAUAUACCAUGAACAAGGGCCGUAAGGUGCAACCAAUCUUCAUUGGGGUGAUCUUUUCGGAUAGCUUCAGCUGUCUGCAACAAAUGUUCAAUCUGAGGUUCUUCAAGGUCAGGAUCGCUAUCGUCGACAACAUUGUUGAGAAGUUCACAGCAUUCCCAUAUGCUCAUUUCCACCUUGUCCAACUUCUCAUACUCCGCUCUCAUCCUUUUCACCUACAGACGAUUUAGGAUUGAUCUAUAUUAUUUUCUGAAAUAUCAAAUUAUAUAUCAAAUUAUCAACAAUAAGGUUCACAGUCAUGUUGCUUACAUAAUCAUAAGUUUGGUUGAUGUGAUUGGUCCUGUAGAAUUCCUCAACACCCUUUUGCCUGUGGCUUUCAGCAUUAUAAUCCCUGUGGAUAAAAUUUUAUAUUAUUAUACAUACUGAAGGAUUAUCUAAUAGGAAAUAGAAGCUCAAAACUAUAAUUCAAGAACUUAUUAGACCAGAUACCCUGUCUAUUGGCGAGAAACAACAGGAAUUGGAGAGGGAUGAUAUAACAUCCAAGCCGACAAGACAUACAUACCGAACCCAAUAGUCCAACAUAUAAGUUUGAUCGAUUUUUUAUACUUGUAAUGGCCACAAAUCUUUUUUUUAAAGGAGUACUAGACUACUACUCAAAUUUGUGCUACAGAUUUCAUAUAAUACCAGCAAGUUUUGUAACUAAUAUUUGAAGAUUUCUAGUCCUAAAAGAUACUGUUGAAACUAAAGGUAGUCAAUGAUUUACAAUUCUGCAACAAAUGCAUAUAAAUGACUACUAAUCAAUAUAUAUUAUUUCAAAAAACCAAACCUAAAUUUGUUGCCAAAAGAAUUGGUCUGCGGAACGAAAAAUCCCCCAUCCAAUCCAAUUUCCUUUUCAGCAGUGCUAAUAUGCCCCUCCUCCGCUCGACCUCCUGCUUCAACAACCAAAUAACUAGCAACUAAUUAGCAAAAAAAAUGAAAAAAAUUAUUAAAAAAAUAUAACUGAGGCCAACAUACAUACUGUUGACGAGAUAUAAAUCCGAAUAUAAACAUGCAAUUAGUAACAAAUGUCUUAUAAUCUGAUCUGGCUAAGGAACAAAAUCAUACUCUUAAACAAUACCCAAGAUCUAAAUUAUAAGUGUAACAACAUGCACACCUUAAGUAUUUCCGGUUCGAUCAAAUAACAAUGAAAUGAUAUUUUUGUAAAUUGUAAUGUAAUCGAGAAAACAGGAUAACUUACCGAAUUGAGGUUGAUCAAUGAUGAUUGUCAUUGUAGUUGGCGAGCUCAACAACGGAGAAGAGAGAUUUUAUUUUAUUAAUGAGAUUUUAUUUAAAAUUAUGUAUUCUCUCCAGAGUCAGGGCGAUUUAGGCGGCCGAUUUCGAAAUUCAAAAUUUCAACCGUCCGAUCGGAAUUUUCAGGCGUUCAGAGAUCGCAGGCAGCAGGAAGAUGACAAGCUUGUUAAGAACUUCAUAUGGGCUCAUAAUCAUCUGGUUGAUAGGUCAACUUUGGCAGAUCUUAACGUGGGGAAUGAGAUUGCGAUCAAAGAAGCCCUGGAACAGAUCCAUUCACGAAGCCUGGAGAACCUCAGAUUACCAACUCAAGGUAAGUACACUGAAGGUAAAUCGUACCAAGAAGCCUUAAAAACCCCAAAGGGAGUCGGUGAUGUUCAUGGAAAGUUAGAAAGGGAAGAGGGUGAAUGGCAGAAAGUAACUUACAGAAAGAAAGUUAGUCCAAGAAAGGGAGUAAAUCGUGGAGACUUUUACACGAUCUUCUUGAGAAAUAUUCCUGAUGAGGCAACGGGUCGAGAAAUAUGGCAAUUCUUUCGUGGAUGUGGUAAUAUUUUGGAUAUAAUUCUGCCGAGAAAAAGAGAUAGAAAUGGUAAAAGAAUUGGCUUUGUUCGCACCGUUAGCGAGUUAGAGGCUGGAGCAAUUAUCAAUAAUGCCAAAAUGAAUAAAGGUCUAGGGGGAAGAAUCAACAUGUCAAUAAAUCAGUUUGAAAAGGCACAGCGUAAAGAGAAGCCUUUGGCAAGCAAAGUGGAAGAGAGAGUUCUUAAUGAGAAUGAGAAAGAUGACAGCUUUCAGAAGAAUGGGAAUGAUGACAACUUCCAGAAGAAAAUGUUUGAAUUUAUAGAAGUAGAAAUAGAUGAAGAAGUGGAGAAGGCUUUAAUGGAAAGCAAAAUUGGAUACUCUUGGUUUGAUGAAGAUGUUAGGGAUAUGCAGGAGAAAUUUUGUGCCAUGGGCCUUUCGAAGUACAGAGUGAUCUCCCUCGCUAAAAAGAAGUUCCUAAUUAGUAAAAAUCAUAAAGACAGUUGGGAAGAAUUGGAUAAAACAGAUCUGUCAGUAUGGUUCAGUGCUAUCAGGAAUUAUGAUGAAUUUGAUCAUGUGGUCUCUAGGGUUACAUGGCUGGAGUGUAGGGGAUUACCUAUGCCUGCAUGGAGGGAGGAAAAUUUGAAAGCUUUCACUGAUAGAUUGGGGAAAUGGGCUAGUUGGUCAUACCAAAGUGAUAGCUUGGAUAAAUUUUUCAAUCCACUAAUUUGUAUUGACACAAAUAGUGCGGACAAGAUAGCUGAAGAAAUGGUCAUUAUGUAUAAAGGAAAUCAAAGGAAAAUCAGCUUCAUUGAAGUUUCAGAAGAAAGCUAUUUGGUUGGGAAGGUAUUACCAAUGGAGUUCACAGAGGCCCAACCUCAUAAGGAGCAUAUUGAUGAGAGCUCAAUAGGAGAAGGGGUGGUUAAUGAUAAGGAUCGUAGCAGGAAGACUGCCACAGCUAAUUCGAGUAAAAGCAAAAAGAAAAAGUGCAAAGAUAUAGUGGCAGUUUACCAAACAGAAAACAAUAGUGAGUUCGAGGUGGAUCGUAAAUCAUCCCCUGAGGUUGAGGUGUUUAAUAAUUUCAGGCAUAAGGCUUCCAGUUCUGAAGUGUUGUCGGUUGGCUCCUUCCAACCUGAAGAGAUACUCAAGUCUGAACAUUGUGCAGCCAACUUGAAUCAUAGUUCUCAAUCUACAUUGUGCUCAGGAGUAGUAAGGAAGUUAAGGGUAAAGAGUAGAAGGGGAAGGCCCAAGAAACUGAAAGCACAACCAAGAAACCCUUUUGACAUAGGGGUAAAGUUCAAAAUCAAAAGAUACAACAAGGCGUGUGGCAGAAAUAUUCAGAGGUCAAAAAGAAGGAAUACUUUAGAUAGCUGCCUCCAAGUUAUUCCCAAACAAGCCAUCGGUAGUUCGGUAAAAGAAGCUUUGGAAAUCAUAUCCACGGCAGAGAAUAUGGGUCUUGCCAUAAUAGGGGAUCGAGAGAUGGUAAUUCAGGAAAUAGCUAGGAAGUUGGAAGUGGGUGAGUUAUAAAGUUGUUUGUCUUAGUUCACUUAGUAGUUUGAGUUAUCUAGUGUAUUGAUUGUUUUGGGAAUAUUAAUAUGGAGCACGUUAAGUUGUUGUCAUGGAACAUUAGAGGUUUGAAUAAUAGUGUAGCCAAGAGAAAUCUUAGGGAUUUAGUCAACAAGCACAAAGCAGAGGUGGUAUGUUUACAGGAAACAAAAAAAGAACAUUGGUCUGCCUUUGAGAGAGAUAGAGUUCUAGACCUAGGGCAGUUUGGGAUGGUGUAUCAGUCGUCUAACGGGUUAUCGGGUGGUCUAGUUACAUUCUGGAAGCUGGUUACAUUCAAGUGUGUGGCAUUGGCACAGGACACAAGCUGGAUUUGGGUAUCUUUGUUGGAUGAGAGUAGUGGAGACAGACUUCAUAUUGUUAACGUCUACAGUCCCUUAAUACUAGAUCAAAAGAAGAAGUUAUGGGAUGCUCUAGAGGGAAUAAUAAGCUGCAUACAGGAUGAACCAGUUUGUUUUGCUGGAGAUUUUAAUUGCGUCAGAUCCAUUGAGGAAAGAAUGAAUUGUGCUUAUCAAAGUAGGGACACAGAAUUGUUUAAUGAUCGAGUCAAAGAUUGCAAUUUGAUUGAAUUGGAUUUAAUGAAUGCCAAGUUCACGUGGUUUGGGGGAGAAGGAAAGAGAAGUAGAUUAGACAGAGUUUUUGUGAACACCUGCUGGUUUCAAAAGGGUAAUUGGCGUUUAACAGCACUAAACAAGAAGCAUUCAGAUCAUAAGCCACUGAUUCUCAAUAGUACCAUCGUGGUGAAGACCCCAAGGCCUUUUAAGAUCUUUGAUUGUCACCUUAAUGAGAAUCUCUUAGAAGAGCUAAAGCAAAUGUUCAAGCAUACACAAGGUUGGCAGGGCGUAAGUAUACAUCAAGUUCUCAAAUCAGUAAAGAAUCUCAUCAAAGAAAGGACCUCAGGAGCCAAAAGUCAAAUGGAUUCCAAGAUUGCAGCACUAGAGCAGUUUGUGAACAAAUUAGAGGAGUCAGAUAAGGACAUUAAUAAAUAUCAUCAAGUCAAUAAGCAUCUUCAUGAGCUAUACAGAGUUCGGGACUCCAUGCUAAGGCAAAAGGCUAGAGUGAAUUGGAUUGCACUUGGAGAUGGGAAUACUAGGUUCUUUCAUCGUGUAAUUCAAAAGAGGACAGCAAGAAACAACAUCAACAAACUUCUAUUUGAGGGAGUAUGGCUUAGAAACUCAGAACAGAUCAGGGAGGCGUUUCUAUCCUAUUAUUCUUCAUUCUUCAAACGCAACCAUGUGGAAGUAUUCGGUUUGGGCUCGGUGGAACUUCCAACUCUAUCCGAAACGGCCAAAAAACAGUUAGUUGCAAGAGUCUCUAUCCAAGAAGUUGAAUAUGCUCUAAAUAAUCUAGCAGAUCUCAAAGCUCCUGGACCUGACGGUAUGAAUGUUAAGAGCAUGAAGUUCUUAUGGCCAAUCAUCAAAGACAAAAUGUUUGCUUUCAUAGACAAUUUCUGCAGAACUUUCUACAUGCCAGCAGGGGUUAAUUCUUCAUUCAUUACCUUGAUUCCGAAGGGUCCUAACCCUUCGGCCGUCAAAGAUUUUAGGCCUAUAAGUCUCAUCAACUCUUCCAUUAAAGUUUUGCUAAAAAUUUUAGCUGCAAGAUUAGCAUCACAGAUGGACAAAUUGAUAGAUGAUCAUCAAUCAGGAUUCAUAAAGGGCAGGCAAGCGGUUGACAGUAUUUUGGUAGUUAAAGAGGUUGCUCAUUCCAUAUUACGUAAAGGAGCCCGAGGACUCAUCUUAAAGCUGGACUUUGAGAAAGCGUUCGACACAGUGAACUGGAAAUUCCUGGAAAAUACUCAAAUUUCUAUGAAUUUUGAUGCAAAGUGGUGCUCUUGGAUAAAAGCAAUUCUGGAAUCGAUUAGGACCUCUAUCUUAGUUAACGGCAGUCCUUCUAAAGAAUUCUCUCCAGCACGCGGGCUCAGGCAAGGUGACCCUGUUUCACCUUUAUUGUUCAAUCUUAUAGGUGCUGUGUUAAGUUCAUUGUUUAAAAUAGCGGCGUCUAAAGGUAUUUUUAAGGGCAUCUCGCUUGGUUGCUGUCGGGAGAACAUCACGCAUUUGCAGUUUGCAGAUGAUACCAUUGUUUUUCUAGACGGAACAUUAGAUUCAAUAAAAGGAGCGAAGAGGGUGCUCCAAUGCUUCCAACUCUUAUCGGGUUUAAAAAUAAAUUAUGAAAAGAGUGAGCUUUAUUCCUCUAAAUUUCUUUCUCCAGUUGCACAUGAGGCUGCUGCAAUAUUUAAGUGCAAGGUAGGUUCUUGGCCCAUGAAGUACUUAGGUGUACCAGUAGGUACCUCUGCAAGAAGGAAGGUUUUUUGGGAGCCACUAGUUAAAAAAGUGAGGAGUAAGCUAGCAAGGUGGAAGGCUGAAUCAUUAAAUCAAGCAGGUAGGUUAACCUUGGUGAAAUCAGUUUUGGAUAGUAUACCGAUAUAUUGGAUGAAUCUACACAUUUUGCCUGUUGCUGUGAUUAAUCUGUUAGAACAAAUUAGAAGAAAUUUUCUAUGGGGUCAUUACUCACAGUCAAAUGAGCAAAGGAAGAUACAUCUUGCUUCCUGGGAUCAAGUAUGCAAGCCCAAGAAUGCAGGUGGUCUUGGAUUAGUGCCUUUAAAGAUUAGGAACUUGGCUUUGUUGGGUAAGUGGUUCUUCAGAUGGGCUAAUGAAAGGAAUAGGAGUUGGAACAAGUGGACAAGAGGCAAAUAUAAUCUUUCUAUCUCAGAUAAUCUGCACUCAAUUCUCAGCUGCUCUGCUCUCUCAGAUAGUUUGAAAGAUUUUGGGGGGUUGUUAAACAGGGAGCAUUUAAAUAAUUUACUAAAGCCCUCAAAUUUCAAGUGGCAGGUAAGAAAUGGGGCAAAGACACAGUUCUGGGAAGACACAUGGUAUGGUGAUAAGCCCAUCAAAGACAUUUUCAGGAGGCUGUACAGUUUAACUACAAUGAAGCAUUCUUCCAUAUCGUCCUUUUUGGAUCAUUGGUAUAAACAAGGACAUGCAGGAGUAAACUUAUGGUCCAGAAAUUUGAGAGGUUGGGAAGAAGAGAAGGUAUCAGAAUUAGAAGAUAUUGUCAAGUCAGUACAUCUGGAAUUAGGGGAUGAUACUCUAGUAUGGUCAUGCACAGGGCAAAGUUAUUCAGUUAACAAAGCUACCAGCUUGCUACAAAGUCAGGAGGUAACUUCUUGGAAAUUUAUUUGGAAAAUAAAAGUGCCCCACAAAAUCAAGAUUUUCUUGUGGAAAUUGCAAUUAGGAAUACUCCCUACAAGAAUUUUGCUCAGUAACAGAGGUAUGAAUCUGCAAGAAGGUGUUUUUUGUCCUUUGUGUCAAAAAUGCGAAGAAUCAUAUCAGCAUCUUAUGUUUGAGUGUGCAAUUUCCAAACAGCUUUGGUCAAAUAUUUUUACAUGGUGGCAAUUUGCUUCACCUACUAGUACAGUAUUCACGUCGGAUGUGUGCUGGAGUAUAGCUAAAAUGCUCCCUCAAAAAAUUUUCAGAGAAGUCUGGAAAACAGUCAUCAGUGCCUCAUUGUGGUCAAUAUGGUUAAUGAGGAACCAAAUUGUUUUCAAGCGCAUCAAUUCUCUAGAAAAGUCCCUUUUAUUGUAUGUUAAAGACACAGCUUUUGUUUGGUGCCAAACGUAUAAAUUAGUUCAUGAGAAAGCUAAGAUUUGGUGGGGAACUAAUCCUAUGGGGGUGAUUACAAAUUCUGAAAGGAUCUUAUUUUCAGAAAGCAUGCAGGAUAAUGCCGAGUUAUUUGCUUAUACAGAUGGGUCUUGGAAGAAGCGCAAUGGAGGCUGCUUGUCUGGCAUGGGAGGGUAUAUUAUGAAUCGAAAAGAAGAUGCACUUUUCUCCUUUGCAGGUCCUCUGCAGGCUAAAAGUUCUUUAGAAGCGGAGAGAGAGGCUUUUAUUUAUUUAAUCAAUUCGUUUGCAAAAUCUUCAUGGAAGCACACAUCACUUCUGGUUUAUUCAGACUGCAUGGAGUUAAUACAAAAUAUCUGGGAUUUUCAGCUGCAAAAUGAGGAAGGAAAGUGUUUUAAUUUUCCACAUUUUAUUCGAAGGGAUAAUAUCAGAAUUCGGUAUUUGGAGAGCCAUUUAAAUGGUAGGGCAGAUAGAUUAGCAAAAUCUGGCGCCCUGAAACAAAAUCUGGCCAGCCAUUGGGCAAAAACUUCAUGAUUAUGCUUGCCUUGGUUACCUCAAGCCCAGAGCUUGGAUAGAUUCCCCAACAUAACUUUUCUUGGAAAUCAACAUCAUCUUGCAUGGCUAUUGGUUAAUCAUCCUCUGGUUAUAUUAACUCAUCCAAUCUUUUGGCUAUAUAAACUCAUAUUCAGUUCUGGUUUUAUCAUCACAAAGCAAAAACUACACUGAAAUAGCUAUGGCAGAAGUUGAGCCGGUAGAUGCAGGUUCGAGAUGGAGAAUGCCAAGAAGAGGAAUGGUGAAGAUCAACGUGCAUGGGUGCUUCUUCGCAGAAGCUCUUCCAAAUGGUAAUGUAACAGGAAUUGGGGUUGUUAUUCGCAACAGUAGGGGAAAAAUUCUUAGGAUGAUGUCUGGUUCGCUUGGCAUCCGUAAUCGGCGAGUCAAUGAGUAUCAUGCCAUGCUUGAAGGUUGCAAGCGAGCUUACGUGGAUGAUUGGGAGCAUUACAUUUUGGAAUCUGAUCAUUUCGAGUCUUUCUGGGAGUGGCGUAACUCAGGUCUGGAAGGUGUGCAUCCGGAUCAUGCAUUCGUGGUCCAGCAGCUCAAUCAAAGAAAAGAUGACAUUAACAUUGAGUUGGAGGUUACUUUGUGUGACCAUAAUGCCAAUGAACUUGCUGCUUAUUUGGCAAACCAUGGUGCACACAACUACAAAGUCAUGGUGGUGAUAGCUCAGCCGUUUGGGCGAGUGUUUGAAUUGUGGAGUCUUGAUAUGGGGCUUGGCCCAGUGGAUCAGCAAUUCAUGGCUGUUAAUGAAGCAGACCUAGCUCCAGAGGUGGUUGAUGGGGAAAUGGAUCAAGAAGAUGAUGUGGUUGGUGGGGUUGCUGCUGGUGCCGUAGCUUUGGCCAAUGGAGGGGAGCAUGAAGUUAUCGAGAUUCUGGAUUGAGUUGUUUGUUUGAGAAUCCUGGAAGAAGUUAAAGAAUCAGAUGUUAGGAUAUAUAUUGCAUGGGUAUUAUGGUUAAAAGUACUUAGUUAAGAAGUAUUUUGGUUAGUUCUGUCGCUAGUUGAUCAGCUGUUUGUUUCUAGGUUUGAAUGCUGUAAUCAGUCUGCAUAUCUUGCGUAGAUGUGCCAUUUUGUUCCCCUAUUAUAUAUAUAUAUGUUUCUGCUUGCUUUUCAAAAAAAAAAAAAAAUGAGAAACUAGAUGAUAAGACUAAGCAAAGAACAGAUAACGAUGGAGGCAUAUGUAAAUGUGAUACGUAUUUAUAGCUGCCGGCGAGUCCUUCCCUGAGAUUUCACUGUUUUCAUGUCCUUGCCUGAAAUUCUCAACUAUAAUCCGCCACCUACGUGUUCUUUGUUUCAAUAUUAUUUUUAAGGACAUCUUUAUUAUUUUAUUUAUUUAUGGUUCAAUUUUCAAAAUUGAUCAUGUGUUUCUUUUUCUUACUUUUAAAUCAAUCCUGGGACAUAAUAAACUUUUAUGAUCAUUUUUGAAAUCCGAUUAAUCUUUAUAAAUUUUUCUUAAUUAAAGUAUAUUAAAUAAUUUAUUAAAUUAAAAUAUUAUAUUACUUUAAUUAUAUUUAAUUAUGAACAACCAAAAAACUUGUGAUAUAGUAAAUAUAUAUUUGUUAAUAAAUAACUAAUAUAAUAAUACUACUUAAAUAUCUAAUAAUUUAAUAUUAAAAUACAUCCAAUUUUCACUCCGAUUAAUUCCUGAUUUUCAAUUAAUUCUGAAUUGGUAACUCAACCGAUUAGUUCCGACUCCCAAUUUCUGCAACACUCGUUACAACGGAUUUUUCCGAAGAUAAAUGAAAUAUUAAAAAUUUAUUUGUCAAAUCUAUCUACAGUUUUGAAUAAGAAAUUUAAAUUAAUCUUUGCCACAGUCCUCAACUGAAAUUUCACCAGUUUCAUGUCCUUCCCUGAAAUUUCAACAAACUCUUGUCUCCAUACGUGUUCUCUUCUUUCUAUUUUAGUUCUUUCUUACGACUUUAUUAUCAUUUAUAUUUAUAAUAUUAUCUAGAUUUUGAUUUUCGAUAAAAAAGUUGUAUUCAAAUAUUUUGCUGCGACGUUGAAAAAAAUAUUAAAAAAUGAAAUAUAACAAAUUAAUUUCAAUAAAUCAAAACUUUCGGUCAUCCUAAAUUUAUUAAUAUAUCAAGGUUUAACCUAUAAAACGGACACCUGUUUGUUUUAAAAAAAUGAAACGGGCACCCUAUUUGCAUGUACUUGAAAUUUUGACGGUAAGGAUAAAAAUCGAAAGUAUGAAUAUAUACGUGUCGUGUUGAUUUUCGCUUUCCUACCUAUUUUAAUCUGCUGGUCUUAUCCAACACGGUUGCAUUUGGAGUUAUCAUUGUUCUCUCUGUCACUCUGUGUAAGCUGCAUACUCAUGUAUUGCAUCACCUGUAACGAGGCUCAGGGCAACAGUGGUGAUCCAAAUUUGGAUUAGUACUAUUCACUGAUCCAAAUUUGAGGCAGAUUACUCCAAAUUCUCCUCCAGCAGUGAUCCAAAUUUGGAUCAGUGAAUAGUACUGAUCCAAAUUUGGAUCACCACUGUUCACUGAUCCAAAUUUGGAUCACCUACUUUAUUAUAAAAUAAUGAUUAUUUCUAUAUCUUUCGUUUAUCGGACUUAAAAUUAAUUUGUGAUUAUUAAUAUUUAAUUAAUAAUAAUGUUUUAGUAAAAACUUAGAAUAAUAGGAAAGCAAAUUUCAUUGAAACUAAAAAAAGAGUACAUUACAUGCAUAAAAUCGAAAGUACAUAAAAUGCAUAAAAUAAAAUUACAAUACCGGGAAAUGACUAGAAAACAGUACGAUAAAUAUAAAUUUUGAUUUUGUCGAACAUAUUAUUUCUGUUUGCUCCGAGAUAAUCAAAAUAUUGUCCGUAACUAUUCAUAUCAUUUUGAGAUCCUUGAGCUUCAUCUUCAUUUCCUUGAUUUUGAGAUAUUUUGAUCGAUGUUAAAAAAUAAUUAAAUAAAUUAAUUAAAUAUGAUACAAGUAGUUAAUAAUGAAUAAAAAUUAAAUUUAAGAUUAUAUGGUUUAUAUAAAAUUUAUGUAAUAUAAUAUACAAAAAAUAAUUUGGAUCAGAACUUGGAUCACGCUGUUGGAGUUUGGUCAGAAAUUUGGAUCAGAAUUUGGAUCAGUUCGUGAUCCAAAUUUAGAUUUUUGGAUCACAACUGCUGGAGAUGGCCUCGGUACUUAUCAUCGACGUAUAUAUACAGCUAGACCAGCCGUCUACUUAUACCGGCCGUAAUAGACCAGCCGUUCGAUAAGGCUGUCAGCACUUGCUUAUUUAUUUUUCAGUUUCUUGAAUUUAUAAUGUGAACUUUUCUUUCAAGUUGAGAUAUACUCAUAUUUGUAUAUGAAUUAAAUCAUAAUGAAGUAGAAUCCUUCUGAAUUUAUAUCACCAGAAAAAAUUAUUUUGAAAGAGUUAAUAUUUUGAAAAUCUAACAUAUAAAUUUGAUAAUAGUUUCUAAAUUGAUGAAUUCUUUUAUAAGUACUAGCUUAUAGCCCGUGCAAGGCACGGGAGCUUUUUAAUUAUUUAUAAAUUUUUUAAAUAUAUUUUAAAUGGUGUGAAGAAAUUUAAUUUAUAAAUAAUAAAUUAAAAUUUUCAAUAAAAUAAAAUUCGAAAUUAUAAUUUGUUUGUAUGUUAGAACUGUGGUAAAUACAUCAUCACAGCCAUUAAUGACUUCAAAUAAACUAUUGUAAUGAAGCCAUUCCUUUUCUCGUAUGUACCCUGCCAAAGUAUUAAAUUCUUUCUAUCAAAUUUUAAUAUAUUUUGAGUGGAAUACGUUAUUGCCAACUCUUAUUAGAUUAUAUUUAUAAAUGUAUUUUAUAUUAGAAUUAUUAUAGUGUGAUUUAAAUAGAUGGUUUAGCUGGUUAAAGAGAGGACAUGUAUCAUCUUGGUCACAGGUUGGACUCCCAAAGGGUGGAUUAGAGCAUAGCGCUAUUGCGUGAGCUCGUGGGUUUACCCAGUGCGCACCCGAAUAAUAGCGGCUGCGGGUUCCUAGGUUAAAAAUAAAAAUAAAAAAAUAUAAUGUGAUUUAAAUAUUUUUCAAAAAAUUUAUAUGGUUCUAAAUUAAAAUUGAUAAACAUAAUUUGUUUUUGAAUUAAGAAAAAGAAUCAUAAACAUGCAAUAAGAAGGUAGAAUCUAUUUUGGAUUAAGAAAAGGUUUUUGUAUUUGCUAAUCACAUAAAUCCAGCUUAUUAAUUUUGUAUUUGCUAAUCACAUAAAUCCGGCUUAUUAAUUUUAAAAUAUAUUAUAAAAAAAUUGUGACGGUGAGAUUUAUAUGAUUCUACGAAUAAAACUGGUAGGAAAUAUUUAUUUGGGAUUAAAAAAAUCAUAUACACGUGAAAGACAGAAUUUGUUUUGGAUUCAGAAAAAGAAUUAUAAAUAUGCAAGGUUAUAUCAGUUGCCUUGUAGAACAGAAGUUAAUUUUCCAAUCUAACGGUGCUUAUUUGUUCAAUAUAAGAUCCAACGGAUGAUAAGCUUUUGGACCAGAGGACCAUGCGACCAAAUUAUCUCCCUUACGCUUAUUAUAUAUAAGUAUAUAAUAACAAAAAAGAAAUUAAAAAAAAUGUCUAAAGAUGAAUUAUAUGAAAAUAUAUUUUGAAAAUAUUAUUUGCAUGUGAUUACAAUUUUUAAUUUAAGUGAAGAAAUAGAUGUUAGUCUAUCUUUAUCUUUGUUCAUUUUCCUAUUGUAGUUCAGACAAAUCGUUAUCUACUCAUUAACUAUAACUCCUUAAAUAAAGGCUGGAAUAUAAAGUAUCAUUGCACUUGAACAAAAGGAGUGAACUGUUUUCAAGUUUAUAAACUUUUUUUUUUGUCAGGAGUUUAUAAACUUUUAAACAUAUCGGAGUUGCCAAUUUUCAGUGGAAAACAGAACAUUACUCUUUAGUCCUUCAAUUCAAGGAUCUUAGUUAUUCUCUUCUAGCUCUAUAAUCUCCAUCCCUUCAUACUUCAGAUUUUAAACUAGCUACAAAAAUGUAUGUAUAUAUCAUCAUAGUGAAACUAAUGGCAUUAUUUAAAUUACUUCUACCAAAUAAAUUACUUAAGAGAAAAACAUUUGAAUGCCGACAGAUUAAAUCCAAAACCAAGAAUAGUCGAAAAUGAAAGUUGAACGCAUCCUGAAUACCUUGAGAGAACCUCUGGCAAAUGAACCACGAGUCCACGAGUAAGGAGUAAAAUUUAUAUUUGGGUUUGCAAGUUACAACAAUUGGCAUCAAACUGAACAGCUAACAAUUCCCAGUUAGUACCCUUACGCCUAAACAAUAUUCCUCCUCCUAACCAGUACCAUGGAUGUGUUUAGGGUGCUGGAACAAGAGUCACAUAUAUGUUUUAAAACUUCAUCCUCUUAGAUGGACCUUGGUCUAGGAUGGGAUCUACUGGAGGAAGUUGUGCUUGUGCUUCAGAUGCAUUUUCUCCCUCCGCACUCUUGGGAGGAUUAUAUCCUUCAGGGAAAGGUGGUGGUGGUGGAGCUGGUGGCAGCUGCACAGGCAGGAAACAACAGAUCAAGAUUUAUAGCUACGUUGUCUAUAAUUAAAAAUAAUAAGAUGUUAUCUAUUUAAAAUACUAAAAUGAGAUGUGAUUCAUGAAUCUGACACCUCUUCCAGUUAAACAUCUCUGUAAUUAUAUAAACUCCUGCUUAUAAAAAUGUGGAAAAAUGAAGAUAAACUUUAGAAAUGCUUUUAUUUUUAUUAAUUCUGCGCGAAUUGGUUUUAUCAUGUAUUUACUAUAGGAGACAGGAAAUUAGACCAUUUGAAGUCCAAUUUCAAUAUCAGGGGUUUAUCCAUUGAAAUGUGGUUGUCUACACUAUUCUAUAAGCCUGUUUUGAGUCCGUAACGAGAAGCCUUGAGUAAAGACCUUCCACACGGGACUCCCCAGAUCACUAUGGCUGACUUUCGCACUUAAUCACCCUAGUUAUAUUAGGUAGACGGGAUAUGUUUAAUGUUUCUCAUGGAUUUGAAUUCUUCAUAGGCUACUAUACUAAUUAUUAGCCUGUACGCUAUACUCAAAAAAAAUAAAAAAAGACAGAAAAGAACGAAAGAAUAAAAGAAAGAAAUCACAGGAACAUGUGAAGUGAUUUAUGACAGAUAUUUAAUUAAAAUUCCCUAAAGGUCAUUGCGAAUAAUUGUGUGCCAUGAACUAGCACAUGCAAAAAGAGAUGACUAGAUCUUUGUGGAAAGACUUGAAGGACGUUAAACCUAGAUUCCUUUAACUUAAUCUAAUUUGUAUAGUUUAUAUCAUAGUAGUGGUUUGUAAUUCAUUUAACUCAAAACUUCAUCUAAUUUGAGUUAGGUCAACAGUAGGGCUUGGUUUCUAACCACUUACAAAUAGCAAAAAUAGUCUGAUUCGAAUAUUUUUAUGCCACAUAAGAUUAUUGAAUCGUAAAAGGAGAAUGCGAGGACCAAAUCAAUUGACUAUUAAUGCAAGGGCAUAUAUACUGGAAUACAAGAAAAUUGUCCAAUCAGACAUUACCUUACGCUGCAAGGAUGCAAGAAUAUGAUCUAUUCGCUUGACUUCUUUCAAAUCGAUAGUUUCUUUAGGAGCCUUUGCUAAAAGAGUAGCACUCUCAUUCUCAGUAUCAACUAAACAAAAAAAAAAAAAAUGUUAUGACAAGGCAGUUAACAUAUACAUAUUACAUUGUCUGUGAAAGGAUAAAGAUUAUGAGCAUAUGGACAAGGAUGCAAGUACUGUUAAACAUCAAUGAUUAAAACUGAGAAAUUUUUAUAGAAAGCUUUCGCCCGUCAUAAUUAAAAAUCAUAUAAGUAUUUAUCAACACUCGACAAAGAGUACAGAAUAUAUGCCAAGAUGCAGAUAUAUGUAUAAAGAUUGAAAUUACCUGGUUAAUUACAGAGUAUUUUAGUAGAGCAACAGUGAAGGUUAACAUGAUGCUCAACUUAAUAAUCAUCUUAAUUGCAAAAAUGAGGUUAUGCCUAACCAUGUUGUGUAGUACAAGUUCUAAUCAUAUACAACUAUGGCAGAGUGCAAUAUUCGCACUCGGACAAGGUAAAGAAACACAAUACAAAGACUAAACAGAAGAUAUGCAGUUGGUCGUUACUCUCUGAUCCCUAAGCACUUGCAGAUAUUACAUUACAAGCAUGUAUUGAAGUAAUUAUACCGUUCCUAGUGCCCUUUUUUGUUUUUCUAUAAAAAAAAUCAUACAGAAGAUAUGUGAACAGGAAAUGAAAUAAGUUAGGAUACCAUAUCCAAUCUUCUCCAGCUUUGAUGCUGCAGUUGUGAAAGCCUUUGAUAUAUGAUAUAAAGCACGUCCCUGACAUAAAGGCAAAUAGCAAUUUUACUAUCAUUCAAUUGUCUGAUAUCCAGUCACUAAUAUUAAUAUAACAACUAUAAAGCAACCCAUAUUUAAAAUUAUUGACGACGUACGAUGAAAGAUGUAGUAUAGGCUUCACUAGUAAGAGGACUAACUUAAUGGAUAAUGUUGUGUGAUAGCUAAACACCAAGUAAAUGUAAGUACUGCAUUUAGUAUCUGCAAAGAAACUUAUCCAAACACUCUGCGGUGCAAAAACUAAACUACUCCCUCCGUCCCACUCAUUUUAACCAAAAUCAAAAACCCAUCUUUUAUUCUCUUAAAUUAAAUAAGCUCAUAGUUACCAAAAAAAAUGUAUUGUUUUUGAAAUACAUUUAAUAAUUAGUACUUAAUUUAUUAUAUUAACUAAAUGUGGACAAUAGUUUUGUGACAAGCAGAAUAGCUAAUGAGGGCAAAAUAAGUGGGGCGGAGAGAGAGAGUCUUAUUCUACUACAAACUCCCUUAUUUUACAAACUAAAAACCCGGCUGGGAUAUCAGUAAAUUCUACAGCGAAUAUCACUAAAUUCUACAUCUCCCCCUCGACCUCAGCUACCACCACCUCUACCGACGCACGCCAUCUCAACCUCCACCUUUGUCAUACCUCCACCAUCUCAAAUCCACCUCUGCCAUACCCCCACCUCCACCAUCUCAACCCACACCUCCAGCCCAUCUCCGCCAUCUCAACCCCCGCCUUCUCUGCCGCCCCACCACCUCCAUGCCCCCGCCCUUCCAAAUCCACUAUCUCCACCAUCGUCAUCACCACCAGGAUCGAUAACAAGCACAGAUUUGGAGAUUUUCACUAAUUUCUGUAGAUUUUCACCAAUUUUUGCAACACAAAUAACUAAAUUCUAAAGUGAAUAUCACUAAAUUUUAUUAGUUUUUAGUUUUUAUUUAAGGGUUGGUUUGUAGUUGAUCACUAGCCUAUAUGUGUGAGCGCGCGCGCGCGUGGAAAAGCAAAUAAGGCACCUGAUUUGGAAUUGAAAAGAAAUUUUAUCUAUAAACAUAUACUCCCUCCGUCCCACCCAAAUGUUAACAAUCAAGUUGAGCACAAAGAUUAAAAAAGGAGAAAAAGUAAGUAAAGUGGUGGGACCGAUUGAUGAUUAAUGUAUAAAGUAAGUAUAAUGGAGAAAAGUAGUGGAAGUAGUUAAUUUUUAUAUUAUAAAAUUCUACUAUAUUUAGUAAGUUUUGAAAUAUAAAGAAUUAAAAGGGGCAUGCCAAAAAGUAAAGUGUAAGGAACUGGUUGGACAGAACAUAGGGAGUACUACAUAUUUUAUAAUAGUUAUUUUCACGAUGCUCAGUGGCGUCCAAUCACCACUUAUAAAUAAAUAAAUAUGGGAUUAUGGGACUGCCACCGAAAUCGUUCUUCUCCAAUAGUCCAAUCAAAAUAUCGCACUUCUCUAUUUAUUCGAGCAACCAGCCCUGCUUUUGUUUUUGUUAAGUUUGACCAUCUUAGACCUGUAAGUGGCCCCUUUUUCUUACAAUAUAAUGCCAUUAAAUCCUUACUAAAAUAAAUUGAGGUGUGAAGGACCGCUUAGUGCCAAGUGAGGUUUCUUACUAAAUCAGCAUAAGUACGGGUAGUUUCAAAUGCAUAUCGAGAAUCAAUACUUACUACUCGAGAUGCGAAGACAUUGCAAAGUUGCGGCGCUUGAUAUAUUGAACCAUCUAGUACAUAAUAUGUCAGCAUCGGCGUCACCUUAUCAGGGCUGUCCCUUUUCUGCUUGCGGAUGACAAAGAGGUGAGGUUCUGUUACUUCACUCAGUGCGUAUUCAAUUCCUGUCAUUUUCCUAUGGAACAAAUUUGUUAACCAUCAUGUGAGCCGUGAUAUAUUAAAUAUUUUCUUUACACAGCUACCGCAAAUUUCAGUAACAAUUACACAAUCAAAUGAGUUAUUACUAAAUCAACAAUGAUUUCUAAAUUAAUCAUACAUUAUUAUCAUACAAAAUAAUUCAAGUCCACAACUGACCUCAAUAAAUUUCUAAACAAUCCCACCCGCGUCUACAAGAGUCCCCCAAACAUAUAAUAGUGUGAAUAUAUACAUGGAUUUAAUUAUAAAUAGAUAAGUAUAGCAUUUCGUAGGCCAGUUCCCUACCUUGUUGCGUUGGUGAAUCUAGAGCUGAAAACCUGAAGCCUAGUGCUAACAAUGUCUGUGAUCAGUAAAAUUUUCAAAAGAAAACCUUAGCUUUGAUAAUCAACAUAUACUGCAGAUGACCGUACACAUAUCACCAAGCAAAUUGUGAACAUUGAUCCUUACAACAGGAUCCCCAUAAAAGAAUAUUGUUGAUUAUCCACAUUCACUACUCCAAACUUCAGUUACAGAACUCACAUCGAUCUAAAGAUUAUGUAUCAGCUUAUACUAUACAUUCCUUAAAGCCUCUUUACAACACCUAACUAACUCAUUAAUCAUUUGACAGCAGUUGCUAGAACUAGCAACAGCACUAAUAAGCUUGACCAACAAAAUCAUAUGAAGCUAACUCCAGCACAACUAUACAAGUAUAAAUAUAACUAUAGUAACAUACAGACAGGGGAGGGAGAGAGAUUGAGAGAGAGAGAGCACUGACGAGAGAUGGGAGUGAUCAAGAGGAUGAAUGGACCGCAUACGAAUAGUUUCAUUAUUGCAAGUCCAAUCGUAAAAUGGAGAGAGAGCGAAGUAAUCGAACACCAAAUUUCGGUCCAGGGGGUAUGUGUUUAGCCAUAAUUGAUCCCUGAAGCAAAUUCCGGUCAUGUCUGUUCCCGGAGGGGCCGGAGUAGCUCGUGCGUUUCCGUCGAAAUUAGGGUUCCCAGCGGCCGCGUUCGGCGGUAACAGUGGCGUCGACGCCAUUGUUGCAACGCCGGAGUUUCUAAAAUUACGGGGAAGAGAUUAAUAAAUUAGGGUUUUGUUUUAGUCCCGGGACAAUUUGAGCUUUUCAAAAGAUUGGGGGAGAACGGAAAUCAGGUGCGGGAAAAAAUAAUACUCCUGAAUUAUAAUUUUAAUAACCCGAUCCUGAUCUUAAUAUUACAAUAUGAAAUUUUUGGAUUUCAUAUUCGCCUGCACCCAGAAACCAAUAAUAUAUAAAAUAAGAUUUAAAAAUAAUUGUUUUAUAAGACUUUUCUAAAUAUAAAUUUAAGAUUAAUAUUAAAAAAAUUAAUGAAAUGAAUUGUUUGACAAAGUCAAGUUUUGAAGAAUUGAAAUUACAAUACAUUUUUAUAUAAAUAUUUUAAAAAGUAAUAUAAUUGGAUUUUGAAAAGAGUGUGGAAUAGCAUGACAUAACAAUAUACGAUUAUAAUAAAUAAUAAAUAAUAAUCAUUAAUUCAUAUCAAAACCGCGAAGAAGCUAACAAUUUUAAAUAUGUAUAAAUUAUUACUAUCCUAACACAGUAACUAUGAAUAAUGUAAUUUAACAGGCAUAUAUGAUAUUUACACGAUAACAUAUGUUAGUUUUUUUUUGAAUAAAUAACAUAUUUUAGUUUCAAGAAACACAUGUUAGUUAAUUAUCUUUCUUACAUAUAUAGUCUUACUUUAAUAUAAAUAAUUAAAAUAUAAAUAAGAAUUAAAAUUUUUAAAUUGAAUAUGAAGGAUUUUGGGACCAGAAACGGAUCUAGACAAUUGUUGUAUGUCAUAAUUUUUUUUGAAUGGACAAUUUUAUAAUAAUGAAUUAAAGUUUGAUUAAAUCAUAUUAAUUGUUUAAUUAUAUUUUCUCUUAUAAAUUCAACUUUUAUAAUAUCUCUUAUAUUGUAAACCAGUAGUAUAAUAAUAAAACAUUUUCAUCAUCUCCGUGUAAAUAUUUUUCUGAUAUUAAUAUAUGAUAAUGUGUUUUUGAUUAAUUUUAGAUAAUAAUUAUCAUAUUUCAUAUUUAUUCAUGUGUAAAAAAAAUUCAUUAUAUAUUAUUUAUUUUGUAUAAGUUUGAUGUUGACACAGAUAAUAUUAGAGUAAGAAAAAAGUUAAGUGAUUCGUGUUUGUGAUUAGAGUAAGAAGACUUAUGUGAUGAUCUGUAUCUGUUUUCGAAUAUCAUUGAUAUUGAAAUUUUUAAUAAAAUAAAAUAUUAAUCUCUGACAUCUACUACCACAACCAAACCUGCACAAGUGCUCAGCAACAAAAAGAUCGCUGAUUCCAUUUCAUUUCUGAUCCAUCAAUCCAAUUACUCUAAUAUCAUGUUGCAUUUAUGAAAUGAAAUCUUUCAGAACUCAAGACAAUGCGAACUUCUUCAUAUCACAGAACAACAAGAAGGAGAGAGAAGACUGGAAAAUACUUUUUUUCCUAACCGACUAAUACGCACUAGAAAUGAAUCUAUUUAUAGCCUAUAGCUAGCUCUGAGCUUCUAACAGAAAUAAUAGAAAAUAACAGUCUUGCUGCCUAUAUGUCACUCUAGAAAUUCUCUGGAAUAGCCUCACUGCUAUCUUCAACAGUAAAAAUUCGUGGCUUGAGGAGUAUACUUGCAUGAAUACUUGCUGGUCAAAAGCAAAAGAUAAAAAGGAAGAAUAAAUGAAGCCGUAUGAAGGUAUAUGGAGCACAUGUGCUAAGGAAUAUUCAUAGGCUUAAUUUUCAAAAUUUAGGAGAUUUUCGAGGGGCACGCUCAUAAUUUGGAUUGAAUCAAGAAAUCAGGACCACUGACUUCAAUAGCUGCUACUAGAGAAUAUAUGUCUCCACUUGCCUCGGUUAGCUCCCAACUCAUAAAUUAAUCACACUUCUCAGAUGAUGUUGGCUUUUCUACCAAUUCAUGAAAAAAGUUUCUGGUUUUAUAGACGUAUUUUAUUUUUAUCUCUAAAGUUUAAUCUUACUUGACAAUCUAAUGAUAAAACUAUUAUUACCCCCAGCCAAAUUCGAUUCUCUCUCGUUUUGUCAGGUAUCUGAGGAAUGAGGAUGCAUACUCCUUCUGAUGGUCGAAUAUACAAAUUUUACUCAAAAAUUGCAUACAAAAGAGUGAAGUAAUGAUCUUUCUGGUAUACCAAAACCAAGAUUGUUACCUUCUUUUUCUUGAUUAGUGAUAUCAUUGCUAUCUGCAUGCAUGCUUCUUGUUCUCAAUAUCGAAAGAACAAAAAAGAAAGUACUUUUAAAUUCUGCGGGCACAAAGAUAUAUACAGUGGGGCUCAAAAUGAAUCCAUGAUCACCAUAUAAAAUAAGUCAAUCGUAUAUGCAAAAAGGCCAAAAUGUACUACAGUAGUAAACAAUACAUAAUGAUGAAGAUAUGAUAAAGAUACUUUAUGUAAUCACAAAGCAACAACUAAUCUGACUUUCGAGUUGAUUUCUGAAUAAGAUUUAUGUUUGGGGAAAAAGAAACUUUUUAAAAGUAAUUAUUCACUUAUGGCCCAGUGGAUUUGGUUAAGGUUUUGGGAAGGAGAAAUUAUGGAUGUUUUGCAUGGGAAAUGAGUGGUUGAAUGGGAGUAGAGAAUGCUGAGGAAAAGGGUAGAAUUGAGCAGUGGUAAUAGGACAAUUCAGAAAAUCAAAUUUGUGGCCAAGUGAUUCCAGUGUUUUAACUUGUGACCUGAGGAAUUUUAAAUAGUUUGCAGCCUCAUCUAGCAUUGAAGCUGUGUCCAUCUUGUUUCCACCAGGAACCAGCCUUUGCAGAACUCUGAUUUUCUCGCUUAUUCUUUCCCUUCUUUGCCUCGCUGCAACUGUCUGUGGAUCGCUCGAUAUCUUUACAUUCUUUCUCUUUGGUUUCUCAGAAGCCUCUGGUUCUCCUAUGUUCACUGGCCUAAAGACCGCGGCUCUGUAAAUCAUCUCCUUCAUCUGUGCAAUCGCUUCCAAGUCUGGCUCCUCAUCGAUAUUUGAUGAAUCAACUGGCUGUUGAAAGUUGAUGUGGGAGGAAUUCUGGUGUUUCUCCAAUCUUGGUUUCUUUAGUUUUGGUUGACUUUUGGAUAUCAGCCCAGAAAACUGAUUAGUACUUUUUGUCGAACAUUGAGAAAUGGCAUCAUUUGUUUCACUGAUAAGGCUGCUAGUGCUGCAGUAUUUGGCUGUGAUUUUUUCAGAGUCUGCAGAUGGCAUGGAACUGAGGUUCCAUAACUUACUGCAAUCGGAGAAAAGCAUGGAAGGAAUGUCAUCAUCUUCGACUGAUGUAUCCGUGUUGCUAGUGGUUGUGGUUUUCAAGCAAUCAAGGGACUCAAAAGAUGAAGUGUUUGUCGAAGCUGUCGCCUUGACAUCAACAUAUUGCGGCCGAUCAAACACUGGAAGACCUAUAUCAGCCAUUAGGCCACUAAAAGGGUCCAUGAUCUGAGGUCCAUUUGCUGAAGAAAAAUAUUCUGCAUUUCUGGAUGCUACUCCAUAAGAACAAGACUUGGCCAGCAGUUUCUCAGCAGCUAAUCUCAAGGCUUCUUGGCUCCGCAUAUAGUCAAAGCUUGCUACCUGUUGAACCACUUGCUCUGAUUUCUGCUUCGAACUUGAACAGGUAAAUUCAUGUGAUGACUCAACAUUUGAACCACUAAUGAUAUUAGCAAAGCUUUGGCCCAUAUGAUCAUUCAGCUGAUUACUCCAUGGAGAUGCUACAUCUGCUUCAGCUGGUGAUGUGCAUUCCCAACUCAAAUUGUCCAUGGAGUUCUAGUUUGUUUUCCUAUGAAGAAUAGAUCACAACAUAAUUAUGCACAAUAAACGAGAAAAACAAAUGUCACGAGCAGUGAAAUAAUGCUUACCAGAUAACAAAUCCAGUCAAACAAUGGCUGCUAAAGGAGUGAUUGAUGGAAAUAUUGAACAGAACAGAAGAGUUGGAUUAUUGAGCUCUGGCUUCCGUCAAGUGGGAUGCAAUCCACUAGCUAGCAGCUUUAACAACCACAAUAUUGAGCUCAAAUCAUAGAAGGCAGCUGUGAUCACUGAUCAUCAUGAAACAGAAGCAUUGAUAACGUCAGUUCAGCAACUGAAAGUUGAGCUGUCUUUCAUGUCAUAAUAUCAUAUAAUACCAACAUCCCCAACAGUUGAUAAUUAAACCAGAACAUGGAAUCAUAAUCCUAGUAUUUACUACUUACAGUGAGAUAAGUACAGCAUGCAUAAUGCACUUGUGUGUGUGUGUGUGAAGACUUUUAAAAGCUGGCAUUAUGGACUAACCUUGAUAUGUUGUUUGCUGAGACUUGAAGGAUUUUUGAUACACUUGACAAGAGUGAACAGAUUUGGAGGCAAGAUCUAAAUUAUUAUAUCGAAUGUAUUGGGAAAGAGAUGAAUUUAUAGGCAUUCACUAGUAUUUAUGCCCAUGUACCUUAACAUUGAUGUGGGCAUGUGCAGUACACGUAUGUAUAUGUAACAAAAAUAGUUACUAUAACGCGGUUAUGAACUGUUUGAAAAGGAAUAUAUGCAGGCAAUACUAGUGCAAAAUGGUUUCUCGAGUUCACUUGGAUGGAAUGAAAUGGAGGUAUUCUAAAUUGGGGGUAAUUGAAGAAAACAUUUAUAUAUUUUCUUUCCAAAUUUAGACUAACUCAUAUUUAGAAUGGCCGGGGGUCACAGGACGAACCCGAGUCUCUCGCAAACCUUAACUCAUAUCAUGUUAAGUGACCGAUUCCCCCAAAAUCUUAAGGUGUUUAGAGGAGGGCUUACCAUGAUCAUAUAAUAUUUUAAUACCCUUAGCAUCUCCAAUAGUCUCUUAACCCACUCUUAAAUAUAAUAUAAAUUAUAAGCUCUUAGUGAUUUAAAGUGGGUUCAACUCCAACAAUACUCCUUAUGUUCACUCCUUACUUUGUUUAAUAAUAUAAAAAGUAAGUCAUGUGCAUAAAAGUACAAAAGAAAGUGGAAGGAGAGAGAGUGUAUGCUUACAAGUUUAUUAUAAAAUAUUAGUUAAGAGUUACUAGUAGCUCUUAAAAGUGAGGAGAGAGAUGAAAAAUUUAGUAGAUUUAAGAGCAACUAAGAGCCUAUUGGAGCAAGCAAAAGUAUCAUCCUCCUCAAAUUUCAAUCUAAGAGUCAAUAUAAAAAGGCUAUUGGAGAUGCUCUUAUAUUUAGUGGGUGUUUGGGAGUGAAGCUUCUGGGCUUAAAAGCCGAGAAGCUCACUUCCCCUUUUUUGUUGGCCAUUUGGCAAAAGAAAUGAGGAGCACUUAACAAAAGAAAAAAGUCCCAGAAAAGAAGCUGCAAAACCCGACUUUUCUUAAGACUCAACUUCUUCUGCUUCUUUUGUUGGUGUUUCCUCCGGUCCGCUUGGCCUGCUUGCUUUAUUUUUUUAUUUAUGUAUAGCUGCCUACUUCAUGAUACAUUCAAAUAAUAGGUGAUCAAAUGUAAAGAAUUUUUUUUAAAAUUUUUAUCUUCGAUUAUAUGAAAAUAUAUUAAUAAUAUAUAAUAUAAAUAUUAAUAUUAUAUAAUAUAAAUUUCAUGAGAGACAAAGCAAAUUAAAAACCAAUUUUUUAUAUAAUAUAAAAAUCAAUCUAAUAUAAUAUUUUCAUCAACUUUUCUUAAUUUAUAUCGUAAAUAUCAAAUAAUUAUAUUACAAAACUACGAAACUAUACCAACUUAUAAGUUAAGUUAUCCAAACACUUAAAAACUUAUAAGUCGCGGUAUCCAAACACUUAUGUUAGCUUAUAAGUCCAAACCAACUUCUCACUUCUAAUCCACUUCUUCAAUUUAAGCAAUAAGUCACUUCUUUUAAGCCCAGCCAAACGCCCCCUUAAUCUAUUCGUGCAAUGUGCAAAACGGGGAGCAUGAGAAACAUUGCAGAUGCAUAUACAGAUAAUAAUAUCACUGCAAACAGUAAUGUUUUAUUUAAUUAUAUAACCCUAUUCAUAUUAAAUUACCAUUCGGGUGAAAAAAGCUGUGAAAUUUAUGCACAACCUGAUAACUUUCAGAAAGCUGCAGUAGCUAGUUUCAAGUGACUAAACUCUAAAGUGAGCUCAAAUUUAACGUAAUAUCAAAGGUCCAGAUCUGUCUGUGUAAUAUGCAGAUAGGUGGGUGACCAUUUAAAUAUAUGUAAAUUAUCACAAGGAAAACAUCAAACUCCCAAGGGUAUGUAUCAGAGAAUGGAGUUAUGUCAUUCGAUAUGGAGCAGCAAAUAAAGAUGGUGGCCAGCCGACUAUGAACAACUCACCAAGAGGUCCCCGCAUAUCUAUUCUGGUUCCCACACGUGAAAUGAAGGUUCCAGUUGACAAGUGGCACAACUUGUAUGGAACAAGAAGUCGCGAGAUAACGAUUUCCCACAUGGGGGGAAUUCUCAACUGCAGUUUCAGAGAUCAAACGAUUGCCUGAAACUGAUAAAGGGGACCUCCUGCUGUGUCUUCUUCCUUCUGUUCCAAAUUCAUCUACACUAAUCUCACCCCUUUGCGUUCUUGUGUCGAGACGAUCAAUUUCAGCAUUGACUAGCCAAAAAUUAAAGGAUGAUGCAAACGAUAAAUAUUGAACAUCUGGCAUAUUAAUUUGGUAUCAUUCUAAAUCCUGCAUCAUUUAUCAUCUAGUCAACUGCGAGGAUUCUGUACCAGAGGGAAACCUUGAUGGAACAUAUAUAAUAAGAAACUUCAAGCAACAUUCAGAAUUCAGAUAACGAGAGGCAUUUAAAAAAAUGUGGGAAGGGCAUGCCAUGCCAGCACAGAAAUGAUGGCAGGCAAUAAGUUACAAGCUUCAACAGGGAUGGAAAGGUCCUGGCUUUCAGAUGCAUGAACAGUAGCACAGAGUUGUGUCGUAUUCCAUGUUAUUAAUUGGCCACGACACUAGAGGGUGAAAAAAACAGUUGGGAUGCAUGAACUUCUGACCAUCUCUUCCAAAACGACUCGUCGUUUUCCCAAGCAAAUUCUAGAACUAAAACUAGAUGUGGUAAUGACAUUCUAAUUUCUAUCUCUUUGGCAACAAUCCUAUAAUUUCAAAAAUAUGGCUCAACAUGGUCUUGACAAUGACUAUUAAGGGUCCAAUACACAAGCACCUUCAAUUUGCAGUAGUUUUAGAUCAAUAACAUUUAACUACUAAACAGAAUUAGUUGAUACCUACUUGUCCACUAGCAUAAUCAGUACUCACACACCUACUUGUGGGAAAAACAAAUUGUCUGUCCUACAUCCUAAGCAAAGUGGUUAUAUGUAGGGAAACUGCAAUGGAUGUUGCUGUAGGAACAAACAGCAUUUAAGUUUUUUUACAUAUUGUUUAACCAACAUUUUUUAUAAAUAGUUAUGUUGGCAAAAUGGGGGCUUCAACUUUGACAGCUAUUGGAGAAGCAAGAACGCUUGAGCCCUACAAGCAGAACUGUUAGAACGUAUUUAUUCUUCCUCUUAAGAUGGCUUCGGCUUUCCUUUCCUGACCUCUUUUCCAGGUCCUAUAACGAAAACCUGUGUAGAAAAAUGGUGCAUGAACCCUAAUCACUUAGAAAUUUGGGCAAAUUUUAGAUAUUUGUUUUUUAACCUUUUACCACACAUGUAAUUUUUGAAUAUUUCUUUUUAUGAAUAAAAAUAGUGAUGUAAUAUUAAUAUUUACAAAAAAAAAUUAAAAUAAUAAUCUUAACUAUAAAAUCAAAUCACUUUAAUAUACGUGUCAAAAAAAUUAAAAAUUAAUUGUUUAAAUAUGAAUAGAGUAUUUUCCAUAAUUUUAACCAGCCACAUUAAAAAUGUUUUACCUUGGACACUUUGUUGUAUAUAUAAAAGAAAUUACUUUAAUUUGACCGUUGUGUUUCACUGCAAUAAAUCUAAAAUCUUUUUAUUAUUAUUAUUAUAUUUUCGAUCUAAGUUUUUGAGUUUCAUAGAACUGGUUUCAACUUGGAAUGCAUGGAACAGCCUCCGAAUAUUAAAUAAUAAAUUCAACGGGCCUAAAUAUCAGUGAUCCAUGAGAACUAAAACAAACAUGACCCAGUUUAGAACUACUCGACCCAGCCCGUUACUCAUUCACAAGAAAUAAACUCAUAAACUCAUAAAAGACGCAAAAGCCCUAAUUAUCCUCGGUGGUUGUAGCUGAAGCAAAUCUAACGAGAACGAAGAAGGAAGCGCAGCGCAGCCAUGGGUAAGAUCUCCUCUAAUAAUUCAUAUACUCAACACCGCUCACUUGUAUCUAUAUUCAAUCUCCAAUCUUCAAUUUCUAUAAGUAUAAAAAUCAAAACCCUAACGAGUGUGUGUGUGUAACAGGAAAGGUACACGGAUCGCUGGCACGUGCAGGGAAGGUGAGAGGGCAAACACCGAAAGUAGCUAAGCAAGACAAGAAGAAGAAACCACGAGGUCGCGCUCACAAGCGUAUGCAGUACAAUCGCCGUUUCGUCACCGCCGGUAACUAUUUUCUCGCGGACUUGUUUUUUUGUUGCGUUUGAAAGUUUGUUGUUGUAUUUUACAUUAUUGAUUUUGAUCAAGGCAGUUGUUAGGAUUGAGUGAGAAUAUGUGUGUUGUGUUGAUAAGCCGUAUGUCGAGAUCUGGAGAAUGCGUUUUGCUGUUACGAUUGUACUAGACAGUCUAGAGUUAGAGGUUAUGAUUCCGUUUGCAAAGGUCAUAAACAAAUAGGGAAAAUUAAAAUAAUACUGCAAUUGUAUUAUAUAGUCACCAAUAAAAUACAGAUUCCCAAUUAUUGGGUGUGGUGUUUGUGGCUCAAUCAAUGAUGUGUGGUAUAUUAAGCCAAGACUUCCACGUAUAGUGCUAAGAAGGCCUUUACCUACAAAAGUUUAGGUUGAUUAAGAUUAUUAAAACAGAACAUGUAUAUACUUAGAGCAAGUCCAACAGCUUCCCUGAAUGAACUCAUAAGCUUAAGUAUAGGGAAUGUGACAUUAAAUGUUGCUCGAACAGUGUCCUAGUGAUUCCCUAUAUCACUAGGACAUCCUCAAAAUCACUAGUUAUUUCCUAUUUUUAGGUAACCACGAUCCAUCCCCUAUUUCAUUUUUCGGAAUAAAAAAUUCAUUCUCAUCCAUUUUUACACUCUUGGUCCCCACUAUUUUUAUACUACUUAUAUUUUUUUGUCCCCACAAUUUCCCCUUUCUAAGUUAAAAUAUAUUAUAAUAAGGAUGAGGAACGAAUAUAGGAAUUGUUGUUGGAGUUGACAUACAAAUUAGUGAUCCUAAAUCACUAGGAUCCUUUAUUUUAUAAUAUAUAGGAAUGCAUUAGGACACUGUUGGACUUGCCCUUACUCCGCUUAAUUUUCAGUAUAAAAAUACUUAUGUUCGCAUAAAGUUAAAGUAGAGUGAAUUCUCAUUUGCGAAAUUGUCAAAAACCUUUUCUUAACAAGUAAUGUAGAAUAUUUUGUGUGCCACUGGUAGGGUAGUACAAUGUAUAUAUCCAAGUGAUGGAAACAUAUUGGGUUUGUUGGGAACCUCCCCCCUGCUUAAAUCUUCCUUUUGUCAAUAUAUAUCUUCACAGGGUAGCUGUAUUCAUUCAUUUCACAGGAGCGCCAGAUGAUUUCUGAAUUAAUAUGUUUUCAGAAUUAAUAUCUGUGUACAAAGUAUGAAAUAGUUUGUAGAGAUAUACAGUUGAGCUUGAACAUAAUAGGUAUUUUGCAAGCCAUGCAGUUUUUCAACGUCUUAUUGUAUAUAUGUGUUCUAGGAAUGUGGUGAUAUUGUGUACAAGUUAUUCAGCUGUAGGCAUUUUUUGUAGUAUGAUCUUUUGAAACUGUCUUGUUUUACAUUCUCAGCUAUAGGCAUUUUUUGUAGUAUGAUCUUUUGAAACUGUCUUGUUUUGCAAAUUGUUAUGGUUGCAUUAUUUAAUUGAUAAACUGAGCGCUGCUUUACAAUAUUGCAAUGUACUGUCAUGUAUGAUAUGAAUUGUACUCGAACUGUUGGAAAAUCCUGUAUCUUGUGUUAGUCGGUAAAUACAAGAAAAUACAAUAUAUCCUUUUGAUGUUGCAUUUUUUUUGAUAUUACAUUAUCACCUACUCUAGGUUCUAAUGCAUGCAAUAAUUUUCUGUUUUGCAGUAGUUGGUUUUGGAAAGAAGAGAGGCCCCAAUUCAUCAGAGAAGUAAGCUCUGUAAUGCCAGAUAUUAUUGUGCAACCUUUUUAGUAGCUUAGUAAAUGCACUUGAGACAUUUGUUCGAGUCAAGGCAGGAUGUAUUUGCAUUUUGGUGUAUUAUGAGCAUUAUAUAUGGCUCAUUGAAGAAUUUCUUCUAUUGGAUUAUCUAAGAUCUUGCUUACAGAGUAGCAAAAUAUAAGCUAGCAGUACUUAUUGGUUUUAUGACUUGAAGAAUAGUGAUUAUGUUUUAUUACUGCAAAAACAAAUUCAUGGCAUUUAAAGUGCUGUGAAGAUUUUGUAAGAAUUUUAUUUCGUUAGUUAUUAUAAUAAUAUUUAUAAUAUUAAAAUGUAUUUUUUUCUUUUGUCAAAAAAAUGCGUGCAAACAGUUAACAUAAGCAAAUGAGAAGGAUGGAGAGAGUAUGAUUAAUGAAGCUCAUGGUGAAACUAUGAUCAUGCUUGAAGUAACCAAACUUACAGUAUAUGAUUAUAUUGAAGUGACAAACUUAUAUAAUUUAUGUCAUUAUGUGUUCAUGUUUGCAUAGAAGUAGAUAAAAGUCAUUACUUAACAGUAAUUACGACACGUAAUAAUUUAUCACCGUAAUUUCACAGCUUAAAUACCCAAAAAAACAAUAAUAUUGCCCGCAAGACGCUGGACACAUAAGCCAAACACGGACAUAGACCAUCCCAUUCUGUAGGUACGCGCGCGUCCAAGCACGCGCAAACUCUGUCUCCCUCUUCCCAAACGUCAAGCCAUUCUUUCGGACGUUUCAAUCUGGUGAAAAUUCUUGCUACAUGGAACACCAAUUCAUCAAUGCAUCUGCACACAUACACAACAUGCAAACAAUGUAUCAAACGGAAACAGUGAUGUGAUGGAAUAAAAUAUAAGGUGACAGAGCCCGCUAAUAUUUCUCUCAUCAUACAUUCAUUUGUUUCCAUUUCAACAAAACUUGUCCCGGUCAGAUUUAUCGCUGCUACAAAAGUGUGAACCCCAUCAAUUUAUCUUUAGAACGCAAACACUUCUUACUAUGCAUUUUUUCCUCAUUUCUGCAUAAAUGCCUCACAUUUAAUUCUUGUCCUUAUACAUUCUUUCAUAUCUUACUCUUUUACAUCAGCUGCGGAUCAGUGUCUUGAGGAUUCUUAGCUUGUUUCGACACAGACCCACCUGUCCUAUUUCACAGUCUCGAUUUCUUGUGGUUGUCUGACUUUAAACACACACCGAGACACUAUUGACAGAUUUAUCACUGUAAUUUUUUUGAAUGUGAUAGCCUCCUGAAAAUUUGUGAGUGAAGAUGCAGACAAGAUCGGUGGCAAUGGAGGAAGGUAAAGAGCUUCCAAUGCCAUCAAGGACAAUCCAGGCGAGGGUUCUGCCUUUGAAACUACUUUUAUUUUUUUUGCUAUUUCUUGGUGUAGGCAUUGCCUUCAUAAUUAUUAGCAUGCUUAUGAGCCGGCAUUUUUAUGUUGAUAAUGUUAUCAUCCCGGCAACAAGUAACAGAGUUCAGCCUUGCUUUCAAGAACCACUUAGUUUUAGGAGUUGGAUUAAGCCACCGUCAACUGUGUGGCAUACUAUGAAUGAUUCUCAGCUCUUUUGGCGGGCUUCAUUUGAUCCUCAGAUCACAUCGUACCCUUUCAAGAGGGUCCCCAAAAUUGCGUUUAUGUUCUUGACAAGGGGACCAUUGCCUAUGGCUCGCCUGUGGGAUAGGUAUUUUAAGGGGCACGAAGAACAUUAUUCUGUUUAUAUACAUGCGCUGCCUAGUUAUGUUGAAGAUUAUCCUCCUUCUUCAGCUUUUUAUCGGAGGCAAAUUCCUAGUCAGGUAUCGACUAUCACUAUAUUUUCUCCUUUCUAUACACAAGCUUGAAUAUGUUUUAUACAAUGGAGAGUAAAUGAAGGCCACUCUCCUUCUUGGUUGUUUCUCUUUGCACAAAUUUCUCUGUAGUUAUUCAAACAGAAAAUAGAUUGUGAUUUGUGGUUUACUCUGCAAUCUAGACAACUAUAAAUGAGAGCCUGGUUGAAUUUUGCAGAGAACUGAAAUCAGGCACUAUGUUGGGUUUUCAAAGAGCCAUCUGGCUUGUUUCAUAUUCACUUGUCACUUUCUUGUUAGAUAUGAUUGUCGUUGUAACUAAUCUUGAAUCCGACUUGUACGUAGGUUGCAGAGUGGGGAAUGAUGAGCAUGUGUGAUGCGGAGAGAAGACUCCUUGCCAAUGCAUUGCUUGAUAUAUCAAAUGAAUGGUUCAUUCUCCUGUCUGAGGCAUGCAUACCUCUUCAGAGCUUUCCCAUUGCUUACCUCUACUUAUCAAUAUCUCAUACAAGUUAUAUGGGGUCAUACGAUGAUCCUGGACCCUUUGGCAGAGGACGCUAUAACGAUAACAUGGCACCGCUAGUCAACCUCAGUGAUUGGCGUAAAGGGUCACAGUGGUUUGAAGUAAACAGAAAACUGGCAAUUGACAUUGUCAAGGACGACACUUAUUACCCGAUAUUUGAGAAAUUCUGCAGACCAGCGUGUUACGUGGAUGAGCACUAUUUUCAGACAAUGCUGAGCAUCCAGUCCCCUCAUCUUUUGGCAAAUAGAAGUUUAACAUGGACUGAUUGGUCUCGAGGCGGUGCUCAUCCUGCCACAUUUGGGGCAGCUGAUAUGGAAAAGAAAUUUUUUAAGAAUAUUAUUGAAAAACAGAAGUGCAUGUUUCAUAAUCAGACAUCCUCGGCUUGUUUUCUUUUUGCAAGAAAGUUUGCUCCAAGUGCAUUAGAUACAUUACUAGCACAUUCAUUUGAAUUUUUUGGGUAUUGACAAGAUCUCCGCAUUCUGGAUAAUUACAGAGUCUUUUACUACACAAUUGUAUGAUCUUACAAUGUAAUGUGACACUAGUGACUGGUAUAUGUAAUUUGCAGUUGGAAUAGUUUCUUGUGUUCAAUACAGACACUUCUUCUCAUGAGUUUCAUGUUGUCUCUGUUAUUUAAACCUCUAUGAAAUAUCAGAGGUGUUUGGGGAUUGCUACAUACAGGUACCUUACAAUUCUUCGUGAUAAUCGUCCUUCACCUGAGGAUUUUCUGAUUGGAUUUCAAGAAGGUAACUAGCAGUUAGUGACGCUUGAAGUGCAGCACCAAAUGGAAAUGCAUCCUCAUUGAUUUCAAAAUAAGGUGAGUGUGGUGAUGGGAACUUCCCUUUCGUUUCAUUUUUCAUUCCCAGGAUAUAAUAGUAACCCGGUAUAGCCUCUUGGUAAACUGAAAAAUCCUCAGAUCCCAUCAAUGGCUUCAUGUCUUCCACAUUAGAAAUGCCGAGCAAGUCUCCUGCUACGUUCUGGAAGUGUUUGUGCAAGGCCUCAUCAUUUACAGUAGGAGGGCAAAAAUCUUUUUCUAGAAAAUUAACAGUUGCAUUGCACCUCUGUACAGCUGCUUGUCCGAUAAUAACCUGGUAGGAAUGAGAAUAAAUUGAUCACAAUUUUAGCAUUUUUGAACUCAGCUGAAGUAAUGUUUUUUUAUUUCUUUUGUUAUUGAUCAAUAAUGUGUUAAUCAUCUUAAAUCUCACAGCUGGAGCAAUGUGCAGGACAUUACCUCCUCAAUUCGCUGCUUGAGGUGCGCAAAUGUUUCCUUGGAGAAUGUUCUGAAGGAGCCGCCAAUGACUACAGAAUCUGGAAUAACGUUGAACGCACUGCCACCUUGAAAUUUUGCAACUGUAACAACCUAAAGAGUGCGAGUUACAUUCUGAUUAAUGAACCACUAGAUUGUCAACCCUGAAAGGCUUAUUAAGUGGCAUUCAGAUUUUAGGCUAGCACUUACAGCAACCUGAGCUCCUGGACUUAGACGAAGUGAUAAGCCUACUGGUGUGCGUGUUUGUGUGUGUAGACAGAGAGAAGAGUUAAACCUGAGAGUCAAGAGGAUCUGCUUCUCGUGAAACAAGGUGCUGUAAACUCACAAUUAUGUUUGAAGCUGCUAAAAUGGGGUCAAUUGAAUGGUGCGGGAUGGCAGCAUGACCUCCCUUACCACUUAUCACAGCUUCGAAAAAACCAUUUGCAGCCAAAAGAGGACCAGACCUGGAAGACACCUUCCCUAUAGGUAAAUCAGAAGAAACAUGCAGACCAAAGAUGCCUUUGACAUUCUCUAGAAUCCCUGAAUCCAAAAUUUUCGAUGCUCCUCCCCCUCCUUCCUCAGCAGGUUGAAAAACAAGAACAAUUGUACCCUGCCAGCCAAGAGGGAAAUUCCUCUCAUUCAAGUUAUUAAGCACCUUACCAUAGGAUAUUUAUAUGCAGAUAACUUCUUAAACUUUGAGCAUCAACAAACCAACCAUUAAAGAUUGGCGAUGUUCUUGAAGAAUCCUUGCUGCACCAAGAAGCAUUGCAACAUGACCAUCAUGCCCACAAGCGUGCAUCUUACCGCGAGUUUUGCUCUUGUGCUCCCAUUCCACUAGUUCCUUUCAAGAAUCAAGAAAACAAAAACCCUUCAGAUACCAUGCUUAAUAUCAUAUAUUUGCAUAAACAAUGAGCACGCAAGCUACAACGUCAUGACUAUUAGUACUGCAACAGAUAAUUUAACAAACCUGCAUGGGUAGUGCAUCCAUAUCAGCCCUUAAAGCAACAAAAGGAGCUUCACCAGAGCCAAUAUAUCCAACAAUACCAGUAACAGCAACAGGAUAUCUGUACUUGAUCCCCAUUUUAUCGAGUUCAGCUCUAAUAAGCUUGCUGGUCUCAAACUCUUCAUAUCCCAGUUCUGGAUUUUCAUGUAUUUUCCUUCUUAUACUCACCAUCCAAUCAAAUAUUUCUGGGCUCUUAGCUAUAUCAAGAAAUUCUUUAGAAAUUUUAGAAGAAUCUGAGUAUAUGGGUACUGAACAAAACACUGAAAGAUUAUAAAUCAAGAAAGCUAAUAUUAAUCUCAAGAAAACCAUUUUUGCAUCCCUGAAAAGGAAGACUGUAAUGGGUUUGAUUUGCAGAGUCAAGAACAGCAAUUAUUGUUUUCUUAUACGGUGGGUAAAUUUAAAUUUAAAUUUUAAAAAUGUGGAAUAAAGUGGGCAUUUAUAGAUAGAUAAAUGGAGGGAGACACUUGCUUAACGUUUUUGACUAGCUUUCUUGAUGUUUCUGUAUAACCGACUCCAGUCUCCACGUGCUUAAUUGAUUUUGUAACGAGGCUUUUAUGCUUCAUGUGACUUUAUUGAAUGUGCAAUGCUAGGUGACCCAAAAAAAUUUUACCAAAUUGUUUUACCAAAUGACGUGGCGAACAAGUGGAUGAUUGUGAUUGGGUGAUUGGUGUAUAUACAAGGGAGCCUCAUUAUUAUGGGAGAAAAUGCGGCCAAUCAGAAUUUGACAUGUCAUUUGGGAAAAAAAUUUGGGACAACUUUUUGGGGUCUCUAGCAUUUUCCUUAUUGAAUUGCAUUAAACAAAGACCAUAUUGAAUGAGGUCUUGCAUCUUCUUUCAGUGAAUGCUCUUGUACAGUUUCUUGUAUUAUUAAUCCUAUCUUCUUCUGUUGAAUAGAUCCUAAAUCCAUUGGAACAUUUCUCUAACAUCUUAAAAUUUUAAAUAGACUUGUUCUCAUAUGGUAUUAGGUUUUGAUCCCCUCUUCAACCCAAAAAAUAGGAUUUUUUGAAAUAAAUCAUAAGAUUCACUUGGAACCUUCCUCUAACACCUUAACACCUUAAGUUUCUAGACUAACUGGUUCUCGUGCGUGCAACACAUGUUCAAGCUUCUACAUCAAGGUAGUUGUGCACCGAACGUAUCAGUUAAUUCUGUUUUGCAAAUAUCUUGAUUACCGGUAGACUGGAAUCAUAUUCUGUGACACUUUAAAUCUUAUCCUUGCAGCAUCUGGUACCAAAUUUCAUCUAUAGACCCAAUAUAUUUAGCCACAUAAGAUGCACGCACAUUCAAACAUAGCAGCAAUCUGCAGUAGUUUGCUCAUCAUCACAUCUGUUCAUCAAUAUUUGUGUUGCCUUUUGGUUAAGUUCUGAUGGUACGAACUCUUAUUGUUGCUCACUUGUAUUUCCAUUUCUACUAGUCACUCAGUUAAAAUUCCAAAGCAUUAUAAAUGUUACAGUUAAAAGGUUUUUAGAUAUUUGUUCUUGAUCCUUUGUUUUUCGAUUGGGAAGCAUAUUUUAUAACACAAUGAUCUAUACAGGAAGCUGGCGGGAAAGACCAGAUUGUUAAUAGAAAGAAGAUAAGGUUUGUUGCUGGACCAUGGGGAGGCAGUGGUGGCGCUAGCUGGGACGAUGGGGUUUAUAGCGGAGUGAGAGAAAUCAUACUCGUGUACGAUACUUGCAUCGAUUCCAUUCGUGUCAUUUAUGACAAACAUGGAAAGAUUGUCAAGGGAGAGAAACAUGGAGGAGUUGGAGGCAGUAAGAUGGCUGAGGUAUUGCUUUUAAGUUUUUAGUUUCGUUUAUAUACCUUAUUUGCGCAUGAUCUGAAAUUCAUGAAUGAACUAAUGUAGAUUAAGCUGCAACUUCCUGAUGAGUACUUGGUGGGUGUUAGUGGACACUACGGUCCAGUGAUCAACAGUGGAACUCCGGUGAUUACUAGCAUCAGUUUUACCAGCAACAAGCGAACAUUUGGACCAUACGGAGUUGAAUCAGGGACUCCGUUUGUCUUCUCAUCAGACGGAGCAGAAAAAAUUGUGGGUUUCAAGGGAAGGAGUGGGUGGUUUUUAGAUGAAAUAGGAUUGUAUCUGGCUCCUGCUAAAAGACCCUCAGGCCUCUAUUACCGGGUUCAGCAGACUCUUAAAAACCUUGUUCACUAGCUUCUGCCUAAAAACUAGAAAACCAGUAUGUUACGACGACUCACAGCUCCUAUUACUCCGAUUUGAACAUAUUACGUCUCUGGUUUACUUGUUCUGCUAGAGACUUUUCAAUAAAUUAAGUAGGAAAAUACAUUCAGGUGUGGCAUCCAUCAUAUAUAUUGUGAAUUUCGUGAUGAAAUGAAGGUUUAUUCUGCUAAUCAACCAUUAUUGUUUAUAUCAGUUUUGAAAUUAUAAACAAAUUAAUAUGCCCAGACAGUCAUCAGGCUGGUAAGUAGCAUCAUUACUUCAGAGAAGUUAAUUAAUCUUUUUCGAAUAAGACGUUACACCUACUUGGGAGUAUUAGAUCAAUCAGCAAAGCACAAGAUGAUGAUUUUGUAGCAGCAAUGAAUAGUCGUAUAAGAGCAUCUCCAACAAGAGGUUGUCAAAAUAGCUGUCAACCUUAUCAAAUCAUCAUAUAUAUUAAAUAUUUAAUUUUCAAUCGAUUUUUUAUCAACGUGGCAAUAAUCUACUCCAAUAGUUAGCAAUCUUUGAAAGUUGCUCCCCUAAAUUAAAUUGUAAGUGAGUCAAUAUUGGUAAUAUACACUUUUUGUACUUGUAUAUGUAUUUUAAUUAUUUUGGGAAUUUAUCAAGUUCUGUCAAUCUUGAUAAGCAACCCCUUGACAACCAUACAACCUCCUGAUAGUCUCUAUUGGAGAUGUUCUAAACAACCAACUGCAGAAAAAUUCGUGUACCAAGCUUAGUGGUGGAUGUUGCAUUGGAAUUAGAUGCUGCUUUCAACCGACCAGAAUCUUAUAGCAUCUUUCCUAGUACAAUAACAGAACUCAAAUUAAUCUUAACACGGCAUAUGUACAAUCUUCUAAUACUUGUGAAUACCUGGAAAAUAACAUCGAUGAUGAUGACCAAUCAAACCAACUAUAUACCACUUUUGGCGUCUUUUCUGAGCAUCUUGAUGAUCCAUCACAAGCGGCGAGAGCUGCCAAAAUGAUCACUGACCUGUCUGGCAUAAGUUACCACAGCUUUAGCCCAUUUCUUGAUCUGAAUCUUGAGUUUCUUCGAGUCGAGGCGUUUUAAAGAUUUGAUCCCUGGCUCAAUGGACACUUCCAUGAAAGUGAAGCAAUUGUCAGAACGUGCACGCUUCACACUUUCUUUGUGUUCAACAUCUUCACUGUCCUCGCCAUUAACUGAACCAGUUUCAGUUUUUGUUUGUGUUCUGCCUAUGGAGCUUUCUUCCAUUGAAACAGAUUAAAAUGGAGGAUUCAAAAGCCCUUGAGCGAGUUGUAUAAUUUAUAGUGAAAAUAUGUGCUGAAGUUUUCAUCAACAUUGUAGUAUCGUUCGUGUACCAAA